CUUUAGAAAUAUGUUACCAAACAGCAAACAGCUUUUUAUAAACGCUUUGCUUCAAACAGCUUUACUUCUAACAACUUUACUUCCAAAAGCUCUACUACUAACAGCUCCCCCAAACAGGGCCUUAGAGAAUCUUCCUCACACGCACUGGAAAGUAUGGUGAGCAUGCCUAUAGUGUCAGAUCAUAAAUCCAAGGAUCGAGUUCUGGUUCAGGCUGUGUACAAUAAAGCCAUNNNNNNNNNNNNNNNNNNNNNNNNNNNNNNNNNNNNNNNNNNNNNNNNNNNNNNNNNNNNNNNNNNNNNNNNNNNNNNNNNNNNNNNNNNNNNNNNNNNNNNNNNNNNNNNNNNNNNNNNNNNNNNNNNNNNNNNNNNNNNNNNNNNNNNNNNNNNNNNNNNNNNNNNNNNNNNNNNNNNNNNAGCUCCUGUCUUCUUCUGGCACAAGAAUACCUGCCCCGAGUUAAAUCAAAAGCUUAAGAGCUCGGCAUCUGGGUUUCCUUCUGUUUUGCCCAUUCUUUGGGUCGGGUCGAGUCGACUACCCACGGGCCUUAAAAUUCGGGUCGGGUCGGAUCGGGUCAUGAGUCGACCCGACCCAUUUGCAGCCUCAGGCAUGACACGACCGACCAGGCGGGGCAUGAUAUGGGGAGGGAGUGAGAUAGAGAGAGGAAGAAUGAGAAAAGAAGGUCAAGAAGAAGAGGCCGGUCAAGGGGAGAGGAAAUGAGAGGGAGGUGAAAAAGUUAAAAAGUUGGCCUACCGCAAGUGGAAGAGAGGUGGGGAGUAUUUGCAACUGCAACACUGGUCGAAACUAGUCGUAGUCAGACAAGGAACAUGUGGUUGGGGUCUAGAGGGCAGGACUUGCUAGAUGCAAUAGGAGAAUGAGGACAUGCAUUAGGGUUCAUAUCCAAAUCCUAUUCUUUCUACUUUCUUUUUGUUUCAAAAGUUCAAACUACAAAUGUGGUAUGAUAUUUGUUUUGUCGAUUCUAUCUGAUAUAUAACAUAUGCAUUCCUUUUAUAUGAGGAGCUUGCUUUGUCAAUGUCUCUAAGUUUUCAAGGAAUUAGAGGUGAAAGUGGAUCGGAUAAUAUCCAUCCGGAUCCAUUUUCAUAUCCAUCUGAAUAUGCAUAGAAAUUUGAGGAUCCGACUAAUAUCCGUACCUGUAUCUAUAUCUAUCAAAGAAAAAUGGAUAUAGAUAUGAAUAGACAACUAUUCGAUCCAUAUCCGAAUAUUCGAUUCUAUUUGUAACCAUAUAGCACUCAUAAACUUUUAAGAAAAAUAAAUGACUACAUUAACAUGCUAUUAACUUGAUUUAUCAUCCACUUAGUAUAUCUUUGAUGGUGUGAUUAUAAAGUUUAAUUAUCCGAUUUAUAUCCAUAUUUAUAUCCAUACUUUUAGUAUCCAAUUUAUAUCUAUAUCCGUUUAAAAUAAAUAUAUAUAUAUAUAUGAAUUUUUGCAUCCGACUAAUAUCCGUAUCUGUAUCUAUUUUCGUCAAACAAAAUAAAUAUAAAUAUGGACAUGUAAGUAUCCGAUCCAUAUCCAAACCAACUUUAGCCCUAUGAGGAAUGCAACAUUUCAUAUAUUUUUUUAACUACAACACCUCUAUAUAUGUUAGAAUCAUAUUCCAACCAACUAUAUCGUACCUAUAGCUCCAAUUCUUUUUUAAUAUGAAUAUGUAGAAUAUGUUUCAUAAGUAAACUUCUCUCAAAGGAGGGUUAGCAUUGGCACUAUGGUAAUUAAGAAGUUGCUCCAUUGUGAUCUAGAGGUCAUGGGUUCAAAAACAACCUUUUUCUUGCAAAGGCAUGUUUAUCUGAAAGAGGAGAGCACAAUGAUGCUAAGGCUUAAUAUCCCGAAAUGAUAGAAAAUCUUAAGUGAAAAGAGAAACACAGAGAUCAUCCCAACAAGCAAGAGUAAGACUACAUACAUCUAACGAUCCCUAGAUCCCGCAAUGAUAGAAGCCUUGUGCAUCAGGUUGCCUAUUUUUGAAUUCCUCUCAAAACUCACCUAUGUAUACAUGUGUUCCCACUAUAUUCUAUUAUUCAUGUUUUCUAGGCCACAUGCAAUUAACAUGCCAUCCUCCACUACUUUAUGAUUGAAAAUAAAGAUAUAAAUAAUUAUAAAAAGAAUCAUUAAUAUAUCAUAAAUAUAUAAAAAUAACUAUAUAUUUGUCAAGAUAGGUCAUGCCAACUCGGAUUAAAUUUUGACAAGCCUAAGUUGGCUUGACUUUAAAUUGAGCAUGCAACUUGAGCCUAUCCCAUGUUCCAAAAGAAUUAUCGGAUUUGAUGUGGACCACUUUAGCCAAUACAAGUACUCAAAAUGAUCACCAAACUCGAUAUGGACCACUUUAACUACUAUAGAUAUCCAGAAGGGUCAUCAGACUUGAUAUGGAUCACUUUGGCCACUACGAGUAGGGCUGAAUAGAAUUUAGAGCAAAAUCCAUCAUAUCAAAAAGCCAAAUCGUAUGCCAAAUUUUUAGAGACUAUAACUUUGUCGCACAGUAGUCAAUUGAGAUGAUUUUAUCUUUCAGAUCAUGUGACUUUUCAAGAUCUACAAUUUAGUGCCGACCCCAUGAAGGGUUAAAACAAGCCAAAAUUCUGUCAUUUGGAUCUUGAAACGGGCCACUCAAAUUGAAACUUUCCUUUUCAAGAAAGAUUUUCAUUGGAUUAUAUCUUUCAAUCUGAGAAAAAUUAGAUGGAGCAACAAAGAUUAAAGUUGAUGUCAAAGAUCUACCUCCUAUAGUUGAUGUUGAAGUUGAGAUCUAUCUCUGUAGAAUUUUAUUUUUUAUGAUUAUUUCUAUUAGACAUAUUUAUUUUUGAAAACCUGGUUCUAUUUGAACUAGGAGAAGAACCAACUUGAAUUGUAUAAGGAAGGACCUCACUAUUAUUAUAAAUAGGAGCUCUAUACCUCUUUAUGAAGUAUGUGUAGAGUAUCAAUGAAAGAAAAAAAGACUUAAGUACUAUUUUUGCAAUUCUUCCAUCUUCUUCUAAUUUUUUUGUGAGAUAUUCAAGUUGAAGAAAUUCUUCCUUCUUCUUAAUCUGAUCAUCCCAUCAAGCCGAAAAUCUUGGUCCAAAUCUAAAAGAAUGAAGUUCUAAAAAUAUCAAGCUCAGUUGGCUGGGUGGAUUUUUUUAUGCAUAAGUAUUUAUACUACACCUAGAACGAUGAUGUGAUCUAUUAAAAAGUGAGAAUUGACUAAUGGUGCAAAUUUAAUAUACCAAACAAUAAAGGUAAAGGCUAAUACACCAAGGGUGUAGAGUGAUACACCAAGGAUACAAGCUAAGUAAUUAAUUUAGAGACGAAAGGAGGUUGGGAGUUAUUGACCUAAGGUGAAAUAGUUAAUGAGGGGAGUCCAAAAAUAGUAGUUAGUCAGCAGAUGCCACUGCAUGUGACAUGGAAGGGAUACGCACACCACCCAAAAAGUGAAAAGAGUGUUAGAUUUUUGGUUAAAUAAUGAUUAAAAGUUUUCAUACUGAAUAUAUAUAUAUAUUUAUUUAUAUUUAUAUAUAGGUUAAGAUGGGAGCAUGGCUUGGAUGGUUGGUGAGUUAGUUUGAUUUGGAGGAGGUUGCAGGUUUGAUUCUCCAUUCCCUCCUUUUUAUUCUCUCAUCCGAGGCCCCUUUCGCCUGAGCUCACUCCUGUGCUCGUCCGACCCGCAAGCAGGUGGGAGCUGAGGCCGAGGUCACACCUCGCACCAGAGAUGUGAGGAGCCGAGGCUGAGGUCGGACCAUAGGUGCAAUGAGCCAAGAAGAGCCGAGGCCAAGGUCGGACCACAGGUGCGUGGGCCAUGCGUCGCACCCAAGGCGCGAGGAGCUACGUCGCUUUCUCGCUUGCACCUCUUCGCGACCGACCUCGCAUCUGCUGGCCCUACUCCCAGUGUUAGACAGAGGAGAUAAGCAAAGCAGAGAACUUCUAUUCUCCCUUUCUACUAUUUUACUUUUAAUCAACGGGCUUUCUGCAUCCUGAUUCUGGGUUCAAAGGUCUCUUUGAUCCGUGCAAAUCAUUGAGGCAGAAGGAACAGUGCGAGAGGCUGUUGUAUCUCAGGAGUAGAAUGCCAUCUAAACCUAGUGCACUGUAAGGCGGCGAAAUCUACUACAAGGAAAGUGACCAACAUACCACGCCUCAGCAUCUUGGGUUCUAUUUUUUCACUUUUUCUAUUUAUUUUCUCUAAGCCUAUUUCUGCUUAUUAUUUGUUGAAAUAGAAUAGUUUUUAGAUUUUAUUUUUUUGGGGACAGUUUAUCCCAAUAUUCUUGAAGUAGAUAUCCUACAUAUAAUACGCUAAUACUUAGAGUUAUCCCAAUGGCCAAUACAAGUGACCCGGUUCCUCCUGAAAAGUUUAAUGGAAAUAACUUUAAGCAUUGGAGACAGAAGAUGGAGAUCUUCUUAACCACACUAUGAUUAUUUUCUAUAAUUUUUGACUCUCCUCCAAAUGAGGAAGAGAAUGAACCGACUAGAACUUGUAAUUUGGAGGAAUUUAAGAAGAAAGACUACUUGUGUAGGGGAAGGAUUCUAUCCUAUCUUUCUGAUCCCCUUUUUGAUGUCUACUGCACUUUUAAAACUUUCAAGAAGAUUUGAGAUGAUCUUAAUAAGAAAUAUGGUAUCCAAGAUACCGGAAUGGACACGUAUACUGCUAGUCAAUUUCUGUCUUAUAAGAUGGUUGACACCAAGCCUGUAGUUGACCAAGCCCAUGAGUUAACAGUGAUUUAUCAUGAAUUAGGCUUAAGGAGAAUGGGUAUAACUAAGAGCUUUCAAGUUGCUUGUACUAUUGACAAGCUCCCACCUUCUUGGAAAGAUUUUGGGUUAUCCCUGAAACAUAAAACCGAGGAUAUGACAAUGAAAACCCUAUUGUCUGCCAUUAGGAUCCAAGAACAACACCUUGAGAAAGAUAAUGAACAACUCAUGAACUCUGAGCUUCUAACCAAGGUGAACUUUGUAGAAGGUAAGAAUAAGACCCAUAAGUUCAAGAACUCCAAAUUUGAAAAGGGUGGACCUAGAAACAAAGAAAAACCUAUGAAGCCAAAAUACCAUAUCAAUAAGAAUGAUCGGAAGCCGAUUUGCUACAAUUGUGGAAAAUUCGGUCAUAUAGCUCGAGUAUACUGGAUGAAGAGGAAGAAGUAUCAGAACUAUGAACAUGCGCCUUCUCAACCAGCAAAUCCACAAACCAACAUGGUGCUAUCCAGUACUGGUCCUACUAAUACUGAUGAUCAGUAUGUAACUUUAAGUUCAGAAUUAAAUUUGGCAAUUUGUUCUACCGAUUGGUUAGCGGAUACAGGUGCGAAUGUUCAUAUAUGUGCUGAUUGUACCCUUUUUACUACUUAUCAGGUCCGGAGCGGCCUAACAGUAAUUAUGGGGAACUCCACCUUGGCACGAGUGCUUGGAACUGGAAAAGUACUUAUAAGGCUUACGUUUGGAAAUGUGCUUCCACUAUUUAAUGUGUACCAUGUGCCCGAUGGAAGGAGAAAUCUGAUCAGUGGAUCUGUUCUAAUUAGAAGUGGUUAUUCUUUGUUAUUUCAAUCUAAGAAAGUGAUUAUAACAAAGAAUGUAACAUUUGUAGGCAAAGGCUAUGAGUGUGAUGGCUUAUAUGUAAUAAAUAAUGUAUCUUUGGAUUUUCCUUCUAAUAGCAAUAAUAAAGUUAUGCUUUUAAUAUGUUCUUCAUCUCUUUGGCAUGCUAGAUUAGGACAUGUGAAUAAUAAUACUAUUAAAAGAAUGAUUAACUCUGGUUUAUUGCCUAAUGUUUCAUUAAAUGAAAAGGAAAGGUGCCAAAUUUGUGUUCAAUCUAAACAACCUAGAAAACCAUUUAAAAUGGCAAAUAGAAAUUCAACUUUAUUAGAAUUAAUACAUUUAGAUGUAUGUGAUUUAAAUAGAACUUUGACUAAAGGGGGUAGAAGGUAUUUUAUUACCUUCAUAGAUAAUUACUCUAAGUAUUGUCAAGUUUAUUUAAUGAAAUCUAAAGAUGAAGUAUUUGAGAUGUUUAAGACUUAUAAAUCUUUAGUAGAAAAUCAACUUGACAAGAGAAUAAAGAUUCUUAGGUCAGAUAGAGAAGCAGAAUACACCUCCAAUGACUUGAAUGAAUUCUGUAGAGUUAAUAAAAUUUUUACAUGAAGUAACGCCUCCCUAUUCACCUCAGUCUAAUGGAGUGGCUGAAAGGAAAAAUAGGACUCUACAAGAUAUGGUAAGAUCUUUGUUUUCCAACUCAGGUUUACCUGAGGUUUGGUGGGGGGAAGCAGUGCUUAUUGCAUAUGUUCUGCUUAAUAGGUUCCAUUUAAAGAUUCUAAUGAAUCUCCUUAUGAACUUUGGAAAGGAAGAAAAUCUAACCUAAACUUUCUAAAAGUUUGGGGUUGUUUGGCUAAGGUUAAUAUUCCUUUAAUUAAGAAAAGAAAAUUAGGACCUAAUACUUUUGAUGUUGUGUUUCUUGGUUAUUCUCUUAAUAGUGUUACUUAUAUAUUCUUAGUCAUUAGUUCUGAUAUUAAUGGUAUAGAUAAGAAUACUAUAAUUGAAUCUAAAGAUGCUUCUUUCUUUGAAGACGUUUUUCCAUUUAAGGAUAAAAUAGAAAAGCAUGUAAUAGAUAGAUCUAAUGAUGCAUCUUGUAGUUCACCCUCUAAUUCUCUAAUUAUUCCUACUAAUGAAAAUGAAAAUGAAUUUAAUGAUAUUAAUGAGCUUGGUAAAGGGAAAAGAAUUAAGAAAAAGAGAGAUUUUGGAUCUGAUUUCUAUACCUUUAUGAUUGAAGAUGAUCCUAAAACAUAUAAAGAUGCUAUGAACUCAUUAGAUUCUAUGUUUUGAAAGGAAGCUAUUAAUAGCGAAAUGAAUUCACUUAUGACUAAUGAAACAUGGUUUCUAACUGACUUACCACCUGGUAGUAAGGCUAUAGGUUGCAAAUGGAAAUUUAAGAAGAAAUUAAGACCUGAUGGUUUAAUUAGAAAAUAUAAAGCAAGAUUAGUUGCUAAGGGCUUUUCUCAGAAAGAGGGUAUAGACUACUUUGAUAUGUAUUCUCCUGUGACUAGGAUAACCACUAUCCGUACCUUAAUUGCAUUGGCUUCAAUCCAUAAUUUGAUAAUCCAUCAGAUGGAUGUCAAGACUACCUUCCUCCAUGGUGAUUUAGAGGAAGAGAUUUAUAUGGAUCAGCCAGAGGGAUAUGUGGCUUAAGGACAGGAAAGAAAAGUUUGUAGGUUAAUCAAAUUCCUCUAUGGUUUAAAAUAUGCUCCUAAGCAAUGGCAUAGGAAAUUUAAUAAAAUAAUUGUUUCUUAUGGCUUUAAAGCAAAUGAAUCUGAUAAGUGCUUAUUUCUAAGUUAGAAAAUGAUUCAUGUAGUAUCUUGUAUUUAUAUAUUGAUGAUAUCUUAAUUUUUGGUACUGAUAUAAAUAUGGUGACUGAUAUCAAAAUUUUUUUGUCUAAUAAUUUUGAUAUGAAAGAUUUAGGUCAGUCAGAGGUAAUUCUUGGUAACAGAAUUACCAAAAUACCUGAUGGUAUAAUUUUUGAUCAAUCACAAUAUAUUGAGAAAAUAUUGAAAAAUUUUGAUAAGUACAACUGUAAACCAGUGAGUACACCUUAUGAGCAUGGUUUAAACUUGAAGUGCAAUAAAGGUGAUCCAGUGGCCCAAGAGAAAUAUGCUCAAAUUAUUGGGACACUGAUGUAUGUUGCAAAUACAAGUAGACCUGACAUUUCUUAUGCUAUAGGAAAGCUCAGUAGGUUUAAUAGUUGCCCUAGUCUUAGUCACUGGGAAGCACUAGACAGAGUACUUAGAUACUUAAGAGGUGCCAUGUAUUAUGGUUUACAUUACUCAAGAUUUUCCGCUAUACUUGAAGGAUACAGUGAUGCUAGUUGGAUCAUUGAUUCAGUAAACUGAAAAGGAACUAGUGGAUACAUAUUCAUGUUGGGUGGUGCAGCUGUUGCUUGGAGAUCAACCAAAUAAACUGUGAUCAUAAGAUCCACUAUGGAGGUUGAGAUUGUAGCCUUAGAUUCUGCAAGUCAAGAAGCAGAAUGAUUUAAGAAUCUUAUGUCUGAAAUACCUAUUAUGGAAAAGCCUAUGCCUGCUAUCUCUUUGUUAUGUGAUAAUGAAACUGCAAUUAAUACUUGUAGAAAUACUGAGUAUAACAAGAGAAACAGAAAACACAUUAGUGUGAGACAUAAGACUAUUAGAUACCUAAUUAAAAAUAGUAUCAUGACUUUGGAAUUUGUUAGAUAUAAAGAUAACCUAGCAGAUCCUUUAACUAAAGGACUGGUUAGAAGCAAAGUCAUAGAAACAUCAAAGGGGAUAGGACUAAAACCUAUAAGGAAUCAUUGACAAUGGCAAUCCAACCUAUUCUGUCUGGAGAUCCCAAGACGAAAGGUUCAACGAAAAAAACAAGUUGUUUAAUGAUUAGUUAGCACUAUUAUAAAAUGACUUUAUGUCAUUUGGUUUCUCCUUAUGAUGUGAGUGCUAAACACAGCAAAGGUAUAUGGAAGAAUUUAAAACUCUGAAUGAGUCUGAGUCUAUAGCAAGGUGCUGUGCUGCGAGCGCCCUUAAAGGACUCACCUAUGUGAGUGUGACUGUGUGGCCGCAGUCUAUGGGGAUAAAGGUUUAACCCCUAGAGCGCUCAUGAAACUGAGGUAUUGGUGCAUGAGGCUGGAAAAAACACCACCUAUGAUGAACCCAGUAUUUGCAUUUGUCAUGGGUGAAGUAUAUAGAAAUCUGAACCAAAGAAUUUGGUUCAAAGCUUUUUAGCUACCACUAUACCUUUCAGAUGAAAAUAUAUUUUCACUAGGUAAAGGUUUAAAGCUGGAAGCUACUUUUAUUGAAGUCGUGACAUAAACAAGCUCGAUUUGACUAUUUUCUGAUUUUAUAAAGUUUUGAAAACCUUUUAAUCAGGUAGGAAAUGUUAGAUUUUUGGUUAAAUAAUGAUUAAAAGUUUUCAUACUUAAAAUAUAUAUACCUAUAUAUAGGUUAAGAUGGAAGCAUGGCUUGGAUGGUUGGUGAGUUGGUUUGAUUUGGAGGAAGUUGUGGGUUCGAUUCUCCAUGGUUUCUACAUGUUGCUCACAUUUGAGCCUCACCUCCACCAGAUCCUUCAUAACUUGUACCCAUUGCUUAAGUUCAUCUUUUUUAAGAUAUGAACUUAUCAACCUCCUUGGUGAAGUAAAUGAUGGGUCAACAAGAUCUCGAUCGGUGUUUCUUUCAAAUCAGCCAAGUUGGAUGACGACCAAUUCCAAAAUUAGACUGAUAGAUAUGGUACCAGACAUAUCCCAUCACUCUUCUGAUCAUCAACUAAUGGAAUGUGGGAGGCAUUGUUUACACCACAUCCAGAUGAACUUGUAGCCCAUGUAGUAUAUAAUAAGUAAGGACAAGUAUCCAAAGUAGUGGUAUCCAUCUUUCCACUAUCAUAACAUGAGAGAUGGGGUAGCAUUACCUAUUAUAUAUGGCAAUAGUAGACUAUGUGAUGGGGACAUCAGAGCUCCUUAUUCAGAUGAUAGAGUCAAUUAGUUGCUUUUAUUAUUGGUCAAGUUAAUUUGGUUCGUUGCUUUUGUUAUUGGUCGAGUCAGUUUGGUUAGUUGUUUUUGUUUUAGUCAAAUCAAUUGGGUUAGCUGGUUAAGUCGUGUAAUUGAGUCAAGUGAUUGGAUCAAUUGAUCAAUGUAAGACCUAAUUAUAAAGGUCCAAUUUUGGAUGUGAUCAAUUGGUUUAAUGGUUUAAUGUUAGUAAGGUUUAAUUUGGUAUGUAAUAAAUUAAUUGACUUAGUUAAUUAAUUAAAGGGUUCAAGUUUGAUUAGUUGUUAAUUAUUUGACUUGGUCAAUUCAUGACGUAAGGCCUAUAUAAGUGACACCCUACUCAUGAAUUAGGAAUGAAAUAAUUGAAUAAAAAUUCUAGCCUCCUUCCUUCUUCUUCUUUCUCCUCCUUUUCUUCUCUUCUUCUUUUAUCCCUAUAACCUCUUCUUCCUGCAUCUUUAUAGUAUCUUCUUUCUCCUUUUCUUCUUCUUCCUCUUUCUUUCUUCUCUCUGCAGUGAUUCGCCACCAGGUUGUUAUAAGAGCAGGUCGGCUUUACUCCGGCGAAAGUCACGAUCUGGUUUUUUUUCUUCAUCUCUCUCUCUCUCUCUCUCUCGAUCUCGAUCUCGACCCUCACACAAAGGAAAAAAGAGGAAAAGCCCCUUUUCUAUUGCCAAAGGAGAAGGCCCUGCUCGUUUCCUCCCUCCUGUGCCAGCACCCCACCGCCACUGAGGCAUUCCCUCUCACCUCGUUCCUCCCUCCUCUCGGUUUUCACCACAACAAAAAAAAUGAAAAAGAGGGAGAGAAGAAAAAUACCUCUUCGUCUUCCUCCGUCGUCGCCGCCCCCUGUGCUGCGCCUGCCUCCUCGCCGUGCCGCUGCCAUCGCCGAACUCCACCGUCGAGCACCCCGCCCGAGCGUCGCCACCUCCUCUGCUUCACCGUCCGCAGAGCGCCGCCGAUCCCCUCUUCCUUCCGCCCCACCGGCCGACAUCACCACCCCGCCGCGUUCUGCCCCUCUGAGUCCCUUCCCCGCGGCCGACCGCAGCGUCGCCGGAUCUCCGCCGCGAGCUGCCCCACAACCGCCACCUCCCCCCACGGAACUUCCCUCCAUCCUUACGGCCACUCAACGACGAGGACGAGCACCAGCGCCGCCCGCGCUAUCCUCCUCCACGCUGCCCGCCAUCUCCGCCACCAACGCCCCCCGGCCGAGCCCCAUUGCCUCCGCUCGCGCCUCUUCCCCUUCUCAGCCUCCAUCUCCGACGUAGGAUGGCGGACACAGUCGCCCGAGCUCCGCCCGUGCCGACGCUGAUCCCACCCGAGCCGGUUCCACCCGUGAAGCACCCUUCCUCACCGCCGGCCGCCCCUUCCCAACCCGCUUUCACACCACCCCUGUUCCCUCUUUCUUACGACACUCCCAAGACCAAACCCAUUUCACCACUCCCAGCCCAAGCCCACCCGCCCACUCCCAUCCCUAGCCCAUGCGCCCACUCCUAGCCCAAGGCCCGCCUCCACUCCGGCCCAUCAGGCCCCUUUUCCACAGUAUUUCCUUUCCUCUCCAUGACCAUGUGCCUGCAAAAAUUUUUCCGGCCAGACCUGCACUCGACGGGAUCGAGUUUUUUUUCCACUCAAGAGGAGUUAAUAGGGACAUCAGAGCCCCUCAUUCAGAUCAGUCAAUUAGUUGCUUUUAUUAUUGGUCGAGUCAAUUUGGUUCGUUGCUUUUUUUAUUGAUCGAGUUAGUUUGGUUAGUUGCUUUUGUCUUAGUCAAGUCAAUUGGGUUAGCUGUUAAGUCGUAUAAUUGAGUCAAGUAAUUGGAUCAAUUGUUCAAUGUAAGACCUAAUUAUAAAGGUCCAAUUUUGGAUGUGAUCAAUUGGUUUAAUGGUCUAAUGUUGGUAAGGUUUAAUUUGUUAUGUAAUGAAUUAAUUGACUUAGCCAAUUAAUUGAAGGGUCCAAGUUUGGUUAGUUGUUAAUUAUUUGACUUGGUCAAUUCAUAAUGUAAGGACUAUAUAAGGGCCACCCCGCUCAUAAAUUAGGAAUGAAAUGAUUGAAUAAAAAACCCUAGCCUCCUUUCUGCUUCUUCUUCUUCUUUCUCCUCCUCUUAUGCUCUUCCUACGUCUCUAUAACCUCUUCUUCCUCUUCUUUUUCUUCUUCUUUCUCUUUCUCUCUUCUCCCUGCAGUGGUCCGCCAUCACUAUGUGGCACAUAAUAGUGAGGACAAGUAUCUAAAAUGAAUAGUAACACCUAUCUUACCAAGUAAGCAAAGGCAUUUAUAGAUAUCAUAUUGUAUUACUGAAGAUGGAUCUUUCGACUUAUCAUGAAAUUAAUUUAUUUUUGACUAUACUUUAUCUUUAAAUUUUUUGCUCUUAGUUUACCAAUAUGACUCUAAUUUAUCCUUAGGAGUAGCAAUAGCAUACUUUAAUCAUGGUUCUAGCUACAUCCUAUCCUAUCCAUCUUUUACUAAAUAGGCAGUGUGAUAAUAGUGAAAGUCCUCAAAGGUUAAGGCAUUUGUACCUACAUUACUCUCAUUACCAUUCUUUGGUGAUCCUAUUUCCGACAAAUCCAACGUCAGUAGCACAUUUGUGUAUCUACACCAAGCCUAAAGACUUGUUGCAAGUUUUCUCACACAUUGGUCUCCACGCAGGAAAGAGAGCCCUACCAACAAGUCAUUUUGGCAAACCUAGUGGGAUUUGUUAGCCAACAAUAGGUUUAUAUAUAUAUAAACUACAGUAUAUUCCUAAAAUAUGUCGCAGCUAGUGGACAUAUUUUUUAAAGUAAAUUACAAAAAUCUCCUUGAGAUUUAUGUUUAUUACACUUAUAUCCACUAGUUUGUAAAACCUACAUUUACACUCGGUUAAAUUAACAGUGUUAGUGAAUUCGUUUACAUCAUAUAAAAAGUCAAAAUUGCUCCGAGUAAAUUACAAAAAAUCUUCUAAGAUUAGGAAUAAAUUAUACUUACAUCCAAUAGUUUGAAAAAUCAAUGCUUAUCCCUUGAAGUUUGUUUUUAUCCAACACUUUAUCCCAUAACUUAACAGAAUGUUAGCCAAAUCAUUAACUUAAAUAGGACCUAAAUGCCACGUCAGAAAAAAUUUAAAACAUGACCAAACUAGCGUUAAGUGAUAUAACAUCCACUCGAGGAGGAGAUCAGUCGUAAGGUGCCAUAGGUCUGAGGUUGAUCUUGAUAAAUUAUCAAAAAAGAGCCAUAUGCCAAGAAAAAAUAAUCUAGAUAUCUUAAGUAAAUAGACGCCUCAAAAAUUUUUUGCUACAGAAAACUAAUAUCAAAAAUUUUAUCGCUUGAGCCAGCCAGUCCAUGGUUCAAGUCAUGCUAUGGAACUGCAACUGAUGCACCCUCUAAAAAAAGAGUUAUCGUGCACAUAUUGAUUUGAAUCCUUUUGACAAUAGGCUGCUAAAUCUAUUAUAGCUCCAUAUAUAGAUAUAAAAAUUCUCAUUCAUAGUGACGCUAUUAAGAAAUCAUGUCUAUAAUAUUUGACAAGUAGAAGUCAAAAUCAAUAAAUAAUACACUAGCAUCUUCGAUCUCUAUAAUGUGGUGGGUAGAAAAGCGAGUACGAAAUCUAAUCAGAAAGAACAUAUGCUGGUCGGAAAGGAUGUUCGUCGUCGGAUGUCAGUUGUGAAGGAAGCUUGCUAUUGGUUGCUCAUUGUGAAGGGACGCUCGUGGUGGGUUGGCAAAGUAGAAAAGAACCUCUAGAUGCUUAAUCUCAAAGAGAAGAAAAUUCUUGAAAAUGUAAUACUUCGAAGAGUUCCAAGAGUUGGAAAAGUAAAAGAGGAGCCUUAUUUCUUAUAGAAGUAAUUUUGACUUUUUACAGUAGAUAAAUAGUUUUACUAACACUAUCAAUUUAAAUAGGUAUAAGUGUAGGUUUUUACAAAAUAUUGAGUAUAAGCGUAAUAAAUAUAAACCUCAGAAAGGUUUUUGUAAGGUUAUUUUGAUCAUUUUUAAAUUUUUUUGACGUGGUAUGUGAGUUCCAUUAAAAGUUAACGAUUUGAUUAACAAUCUGUUAAAUUAUGGGUUGAAGUAUUGGAUAAAAAUAAACCUCAGUGAGGUUAGCAAAGCUUUUUUAUACUAUUGAGUGUAAGUAUAAUUUACUCCCAAUCUCAGGAAGGUUUUUAUAAUUUACAUCGAUAAUUAUACUAAAUGUUUAGUAAAAUUCCCUUAUAAUUGAUACUUUCUCCUAAAGUCCCUAGCUUGGAUAUUGGUCAUAUAGUGGCCCCACUUGGUGCUCAUGGCUUUGAUUUUAGUUUGGCUACUUAAAUCAUGGCUCUUAAAGAUAAAGAAAAACAACAUAUGUGAUUUGGCAUAGGCUUUGUAGAAGCCUUCUGAUGUUCAUCUUACAGACAUUUCUAAACAUCCCCUUUGAAGCUCUUUGGCCAAAAAUGAUUAAACAAUUUUGCAUCUAAAUUUGCUCCUUAGUUUUAUUGGACUCUUAUCAUAUUAACCCUCCCUCCAUAUUGCAAUUUAACUUCAAAUUGGGCAACACUCAAUCUCACGCCGUGCUUCCUCUCUAACCUAGCUCCAACACCAAUUGACCAACUUUGGCUCAAUUAAACAAUAUUUCUUCCAAUUAUUAAUUUUACUCAAACCGGCAAAUCUGAUCCACCCAAUCUAGUCCAUUUAGAAACCAAAAUCCAACUUUUCAGAUUACCCUUCAAUUUUGCCUUCUAUCCACCUCAAUAUAUUAGGGAUUCAUGAGCCCUUUUGCACUUACCUAUACUCAAUUUUUCACAAAUGCAAGUUGAUUGGAUCCAUAGCUUGUGCAUCACACUUUAAAAAAUUUCAUAAUUUAUAGAAAAAGAGUGAGAAGAUCAAAUACAUAUGAUAUUUUGGGGCUCUAACUAACUUUUCCUCUCAAAUAAAUAGGAUGGAAGAAUUUCUUGCCAUCGAGUAUGGGAGAAAGCACCUAAGUCACCAAAGAGCCAAGUUUGAAUCUUUGAUCCACAUUCUCCUUAAGCCAAUUAAAUCAUUCCAGAUGGCAUCAUCUUAAACCUUCUCUAACUUCAAAAAUUCAAAAUUCAGCCAUUGAUUCUCCCAUAUUUCAUCUACAAAUAGCCCCAAGUGAAAAGAAUUGGAUCCCAUUUUGACUCUUUUGAUCCCUUAUAACCCUUUGAUCCCUUUUUUCUCUCAUUCUAUUUCCUCUCUUUAGCUUCUUAGCUUAGGUUUUUUUAGCUCUCCCCCCUCUUUUCCCUCUUUUCUUAGAUCUAGAUCUCUCCAGUCCAAGGAGCAACUUCUUACUUCAAAUCUAAGAAAACCUAAAAGCUAAGAGGGAAACCUAAAAGCUAAAAGCUAAGAGGAGCUCAAGUCAAGGGAGUUUCUCUUAGAGCUCUCCUCCAAAAAGACAAAUUGCAUGCCGGUUGCGUCAACACACUGGAGAAGCAUCUUUUUCCCCAUAUUCUCUCUCUACUUCUUGCUUACAUCUUGUAAUCAUGGAUACUUCUAUGUAAUAUCUUUUGACAGAAUAAAAAAUUAUGGCUCCUUGAUGGAAAAUUAUUUUGUCUCUACUAUUUUCUACUUAUUUUUGCUUUAUCUCUUUAUGUUUGGUAAUUAGCUAGUAGAUCUUUAUUUCAUUUUUUAUUUUGGGUAUCUAGAUAAGACUUUAGGAUCUAGGGGACCCUCUAAAGAAUCUUAAUAACAUUUAAGCCCCCAUACAAUACCUUCUUAGGUUUUGUUUGGAAUCUUAGAUCCUAGCCAUCUUGCAUUUAUUUGAUAGGCAUAUGGCUAGUGUACCCUAGCCUAUACUAUGUAGAGAGGGUGUCUAAAUUCUUAAACAUUGUCUAACAUUAUCCUUGGACUAUUUCUAGGCUCAAAUUCAUUGAUAGCCUUAUCCAUCUUUUCAUUAUUGAUUUUUUGGUUUUUCUUAUCUUAAAUAAUUGGUGGCACCUCCAAACCCUCCUUUGAUAAUGUUGUGGCCCUCUAACGGUGUCCACACCCUCCUUCCUUUCUUUAUUUUCCUCCUUUCCAAGAAAAAUGAAUGUUAUGAUUGAUUACAAAUAUAUCAUAUCUUAGGGUAACAAUUAAUCUAUAUAAACCUUUUGAUGCCUAUAUUUUAUGUCAUGUACUUUUUUGGUGUUGUAGAGUAGGUGCUUAAAAAAACAACACCAACCAUAAGUUAAAUAUUCAACAUAUUUGAGUGUCUUUUUUUGACGUAAAAUAAUUAUGAUCCGGCCGGUAAGAAUUUUGCAUGGUCGUUCGCGUCUCUUCUAGAACUAGGCGCUUCGCUUUCCUGUUCCGUUUCCUAGUUUGGACUAAAGGGCUUGGGUCUACUGAUUGCCUCCGCCCAAUUCUCUUAAAGCUACGUGAUCCCGAUGAUUAUGUUUUCCUUAUGGUUCUUAUGCUGAUAGUUUUAUAUUCUAUUAUAAACAAAUUAUCUAGUUCAUAUACUAAUUUCUUAAAAUAUAAAAAAAGAUUGUAUUUAUAUAUGACAAGCUAUGGUGCAUGAUUGUUACAGACUUUUUUUUUCGAUAUUUGAGCUUUUAUUGAACAGAUUCUUUUAUUGAAGAUAAUAUUUAUUAUAAUUUGUUGCUAUAUUAUAUUAUUUUUCAAAAAUAGUUCUCCAUUCACUAUGUGGAUAUCGAUAAUAAUGUGCUUGGCCAUCAUUAAAAUCCAUUAACAAAAAUUAGAUUUUAAAUUAAUUUUUUUAUUUAUUAUAUUUUGUUAUGUUAUAUUUAAGAAUAGUUAAAAAAAGAGAGAAAAAAUCGCACCGUACGAAUCGCACGAGGCUGGUAUUAAUGAUACUGGUAUCAAAGAUAGGUAUUUUUAUAAGAAGAUUUUUAUGCAGAGUUCUUUGUUUGCCAUAUGGAUGCUAGUACUAAUUACAUUAUUAAUAAUGAAAGUUUUUGCUUGACCAUCAUCAAAGUUUGUUGGUACUUAAUAUACAAUAAAAAUUUACCUAUUGAAAUCUUCUAUUUACUGUAAUUGAUUAUGUUAUUAUAUUGUAUUUGAAGAACAACAAGAAAAAAGAGAAAAAACAGUAUCUAGUGCAUCCCAAGAGGCUAGUAUCAAUAAUGAGAGUUUCUGCAGAGAAACUCAGCUUGUGCAGAUUCUUCAUUCACUAUAUAGAUGCCAGUAUUAAUGAUGCUAGUUUUAAUGAUGGGUGUUUCUACUUAGCUACCAUUUAAUCCAAGCUCUUGCUACAUUUAGUUGGCUUAGGCUCAAGAUAUUUGGAGAGGAAUCAGCCAUGUUGGCCUACUUCUUAGUACACUAGAUGUGGAGGCUCUCUCACUUUUGGUGCCAGAGAUAUCUUAAGAGCCUAUCAUUAGAGAGGUAGUUAUUUUCAGGUAUCAUAGGUAGUUAUUUUUACGUAUCAUGGCAACGGUUACUUUUGAUGGCAGUUUAUGGAUAUAUGCUUUUCUUGGAAUGCCUAGGUUGGUAUCUGUUACAGUUGUAUGGUGCACCCCUCAAGCCUUCUCUCCUUCAACCUUUUAAAUUCGUUUGGAGGGACUCCUCCCUCUUCCCCUUCUUCCAAACAUGUCAAAAGGAGUUUUCCUCCUUCCAUUUCUCCUCCUCCUCCUCCUCCUUCCUCCUCUUCUUCUCAUUUUCUUCUUUUCUUAGUACCAUAUGAUACAUACCACACUCGCUAUUGGAGCCUAAAGCAAUAGCUUUAUCAAAAGUUACAUUUUCUUUUCUUCUUUUCUGGUAUAUAUUUGCAUUUAGCCUUUUCUUUGCACUGUUUAAUAGAUUAGUUACAUAAGUUUGCUGGAAAACAUGUAUCUACAUACUUCUUUCUAAGUAGUUGAAUUUUUAUGAUUUUUUUUUUUUUUAAAGUGUUGAAUAGUUUGAAAAUAUUUUGAAUUUUUAAACUAUUUUUUUUUAUAGUGAUUUCUUGAAAGAUGAUUCGCAACUGUUUGGUGAGUUCAAGGGGCUUGAAUCUAUUUGGGUCCUCCAUUGGGUUGUUCCUAAGAAGCCAUCACAAUAAUGCUGAUCCAUAUACAAGGGGAAAACCCAAUGCAGGUUGUAUCAGGCUAAAUUUUGAUGGUGCUUCGAAAUAUGGAACUGGCGAUGCAAGCAUUGGAGGAGUAUAUAGAAAUCAUGAAGGAGUGUUCUUAUUUGGCUAUGCUGAACGCAUAGGCAAGGCUACAAGUUCUGUUGCUGAAUUAGUUGCAGCAAAACGAGGCCUCGAAUUGGCCAUUAAGAAUGGCUGGUUCAACAUAUGGAUUGAAGGAGAUGCAAAAGGAGUAGUGGAUCUCAUUACAAACAGGAUGCGGUCAAAAUCCAAGGAAGAUCUUAGGCAUUUUAGAGAGAUAAGUGUGUUAAUUCCCCAACUGAAAUAUUUCAAGGCCUCUCAUAUCUACAGGGAAGGGAACAAGGUUGCUCACAGGCUUGCUAAAUUGGGUUACAAAAUGCACAAACCUCAAAUUUGGUGGGAUGUUCCUCCUGAUGAAGUACUACGGUUCCUCCGUCAGGAUGCCGAGGGUCAAAUCAUUACUCGGAGAAAGCAAAAUUUAUGAGAUGUACAGGAACUAUAUGAUCAAACCAUGUUUAUAAAUUGUACAUGUAUCAUCAUUUUUUCCAUUUUCAUUUACAACAAUGCCGACCAUAUCAUUUUGUAAAUGGAAUUUGUAUAGUUUAUCUUCAUGUGUCAUUAUAGGUGGUAAUUUAUCAAACCAUGUUUAUAAAUUGUACAUGUAUCAUCAUUUUUUCCUUUUUUAUUUACAACAAUGCUGACCAUAUGAUUUUGUAAAUGGAAUUUGUAUAGUUUAUCUUCAUGUUUUAUUAUAGAUGACAAUUUAUAACUCACUGUCAACCCGACCGGCGAACGACCCGCUUUAAAUAGAUUUGGAUUUGACAUAAACAGAUUUGGAUCGGAUCAAUUUGUCCAAACCUAUUUAUUAAAUAAGUUGGAUUCAGGUUUAAACCUUUAACUCGUUUAACCUACUUUGGCCCGUUUAAUAAUUGGGUUUGAUCAUAACCCAAUCCGUUUAACUUGUUUAACCUGUUUGAAACCUGCUUAACUUGUUUUUAACUAGUUUAACCCGCCUGAUUAGCCUGUUUAAAUCCAUUUGAUCUGUUAAAAAUCCGUCUAACUCGUUUAACUUGUUUAACCUGACUUGACCUAUUUAAUGAAUAUGUCAUGUGGGUCGGAUCGGAUUACCCAUUUAAUAAACAGUUUGGAUUCAGAUUAGAAAUUUUGACAUGUUUAAUAAAUAGGUCAUGUUUGUACUGAUGAAAUUUUGAUCCGACCCACAUCCAAUAUGACCAUAUCUGAUCCGACCCGACCUGAUUGCCAUCCCCAGCCUUAUCCAAACUAUCUCUGGAAGGCCUUUUGUACUUAGCUUUUGCUGUUCAUUUUAUGACAACUACAUCCUAUAUCAUGUUUUCCCUUUUUUUUUUUUUUUUUGUAACUUGCUCGAUUCAGUUCUCGAAAAUAAUUUAGGGCUUCCUUGUUGUGAUGUUGUGGGGGGCUCCCACUGUCACACAUAAAUAAAAGGUUUACAUGUUGGAUUCGGCUUUCUAUGUUUUGGACCAGAAAACUGAGUGGACUGGUAUCGAUCCAUAUGCUGUCUUGGUAUUCUCUCUCUCCCAGAAUCUCAGGCAUAUCAAUAGAAGAAAAGAACUAGAAAAAAGUCGGGGGUUGUUUCUUUGCUAGAAAUAAGAGAAAAAUGAUGGGUAGAACGAUUCUGUCUGACUUCAUCGGCAGCAAAGAAGCCUUGGAAAAUCAAUGAGUUUUGUGGGAAGCCUAAAACACAUCUUUAAAGCGAGUAAUGACCUUUACAAAUGCAAUUCAUAUUCAGCAUUAGCCUUGGCACCUGAAACAUCUUGCCUCCAAUUCACAAACCCUGAUUUCUACCCUGAUUUAUUAAGAUGGCCUAUGAAAUUUGAAAACUUUGUUUUCGUAAGAAAUCAUACCAGCUUUUUAUCUCUGAAAUGAGCUUUAGAUCUGAAGUGGGGGCAUCUAUCAAAUGGUCCAAGUUCACUCUACGGGAUCAUGAUUCCAAGUUCUAACCUUUUUAUAGUAAUUGACAUGGUACUUAGUGCAGUACAUUCUUGUACUACCCCAAUUCAUUGGACGGGUACAGUAGUCCAGCUAUUAAUAACGUUUAAUAUCUUCAGAAAUCUAAACCAUGUAAUAUGGAUUCUCUCUCUCUCUGUCUCUUAAAAGAAAAAUGGGAUGUAGACAUUUAAACAGAGUUUGUUAUGUCGUACAUUCCAAAUUGCAUUAAAGAAAGCAAUAGCAAGCAGUACAAAUGGGAACGGCUGUGUAUCGAUGUGCAGUACAAGCGAGAUGCAAGUUAAAGUACUUCCCAUGCCUCUAAAGAGUCAAGAUUUCAUGAUGAGGCUGUCAAAUAUAUAUAGGAAGAAUGGGAUGGGGAUGAAGCAUGGGAGUUUGAGAUCAAAAGCAUCAUUGAGUGCAGCGUUGAUGAAACUCUGCAUCCUGUUGGGCGAUCCAUCGCACCAAAGGUUUGAGGAAUUCACCAGCACUGCACUCAAUCAUGUCUUUGAUAUCCCAAUCAGAAAGAAAGAUAAAUAGCUUUCUUUUGAGAGGCAAUGAUUAAUUUUGUUCGUGAAAUCUCCUCUCUUGGAUUGGAGCUGGUUUUACGAUUUUGGAUCGAUCAGUGAGCGCACCGAAACGCCAUCAUGAGAGGUAGUAUGAUUUCAUUUUUGUUAUGUAUCUAGCUUUCCUAAGAGAAUGUAAUGAAAAUAGCAUCAUUUAUUACAUUCUUAAAGUGAUUACCCUUUGAUCUCUCAAGGAUUCUUAAGAACCUCUCUCGGUUUAGAUGCAAGACUCAAGCUUACUAAUUCACGAGGAAUAGAAAAUCAAGUAAAUCAAUGAUGAGCCUUGGAGUGCCCCAAGCUCGCAUUAAUAAUCAGAUCUAUGAGUUUGAUGGGAAGUUGCUUCUCUAAACUCUACAUUGUUUGCAUCGCUGCAGAGGUCUAUGAGAAUCAAAUUUCAGGCUCUUGCUUGUAAGCCAAGAUUGUGUCAAUAUUCUUCCCAGAUUUCAUUUUAAAUGUCCACCAUGUCAUUAAAAAAAAAUUCCUCGAGGACAGACCGAGAGUUCCAUUCAGAUAUUGUCUGCUGCCCUGACUUAUUACAAGCAGUCAUUACUGUCGAGGUAAAUGAUUGGACGAAGUGGUUCGAGGUCCUAUCAUGGCUUGUUCAGACCAAGAUUUUAUGACCGAGAAAUCAUUCUUGAAUCAUAAUUUUUCAUUCCAAUUUUACAGGUAAAUUAUACCAUCCUUGUCUCAGUCUGACCAAUAUGAAUAAAAAUCACGUUUUGAUAGGUAAGCUUCAUUUUAUUGAUAGAAAAUCUGCAACACUUCAAAUCACUCCGAAAGGGCCUGUAUUCCAUAAACUAUGGAAUUUGAAUUAGUAAAAUUUUUGUAAUGCUAUGAUGUGCUAAAAAUGCUAUGCCAACACCAAUUUAAUACUAUAUAUUUUCAGAUCAAAUUCUCUGAAGAAAAUGAUGGAAAUGCAUCCAAUUUCUACAAAUGAUACCUUGAUGUCAAGCUUUCUGAUGUUAAUGAUGAAACAAUAGAUCCUUGUACAAGACUUUAGCAACACAAGUUAUUGUGGCUACAUGCAAGUUGGCCUAUUGAAAAGCAGAUGCCAAGUUCUUGCAAUGCCAGCUCUUUACAUAAUUGGGAAGAACAAUAGCUUCUUAUGACCUGUACCAUUUCAUUAUUCAGUUGCACCAGAGAAUGAAAUGCUGACUUCUUAAAGACUUGUGAAUGUUCAUUGUUCUUAUAUUAUGCUGUGAACCAGGGAUUAUUUAGUCCCUUGAUCAAAUCUUCACUGAGACAAGGCACCUUGCCUGGCUUUCCCGUCAAUGAGAUUUGGUCCAAUGCAUUUUGUCAUAUAAUAUUCACGAAAACAAUAAGGAGUGGCUCAUAAUUAUAUUUCGCACAUUGAAUUCAGAAAUUCUUGAGGAAGUCAUCUUCCCAACAAAUAUCCAUGAGUUAGGAGCUACUCAACAUAAAAGAUGAGGAAAACAUCCAACAUCUACGAAUGAUUUCUCAGUCAUAAGAUCUUACAGUAAUGUCAUAAUAGCGAUCACUUUAGACUUCAAAAGCCUUGGUUGUCCUGACCUUUGUACUAACUAAUCCAAAAGCAGUUGUCUUCUCAAAGCAAUAUCCAACCACAUUUUGCUUCUAGUUGUCUAUGUCAAGCAAUAAUUCAUUAUGUGGUUGGAUACUUAACUGAAAACAACUGGAUAUAUGCCCAAGCCUGUUGCAUUCAUAUCCUAAAAACCUCCACUGGACCACAAAUUGAGAUAAAUAUGGAAUUCUUUUUUCCAUUUAAUUGCUGCAACAAUUUUAUAACCAUCAACCUUUUCGAGCAAGCUCAUUUGCCAUACAAGGUUUGCAAGCACAUUGAUGACAAUCUUGCCAAAGGCAAGUUCAUAUAUAUCCCAAGCAGAAUGAUCUUUUCUAGUAGAGUUACAUGCUCGCAAGCUUCCUAGCAACUCAGCAUCUCCCAUCUUUCUUUUAUCUCUGAAUCUGAUAAUUUACCAAUUGAGCGAUGUUCAUAUUCAUUAUCUUAACUUUACACUGGAGUCAUAUUCAAUUGCUUUUCUUUCAGCAGAAGUCCCACCCUUUCUGCUCCUUCUCCGGGAAAUGAGGAGAUGCACUGGAACUAUUUUUCCCAUCUUAUAUCUGACAUUCCAUUAUCAUAAAGGGAAAAAAAUCAGAAUCUCUCUUGAUACCACUUCAACUAAAGUCAGACAAUCUCAAUAAACAGAGUUGGAAGGAAUAAAUGACCAUACUUUUCCCAAUGAAAACACUAUCUUCACCAAUAAUCUUUACAAGAGCAACUACCCCCUUUGAAAAGAUGGAAACGAGUUCGAUCUCUGACAACUAUUUCUCUAUCAUAAACUUUAGAUAUAAGUUUAAUGACAUGAUGGCAAUCGCCACACACUCUAAGGUUCUUUAGUACACGAAUUGCCAUCCCAUCCACUGUGCUAAUCAAACCAAAAGCAAUUGCCAACUUCUCGCUAUGACGAGCAAGUGCAUCUUCCUUGUCCUCUUCAUCUAUGUCAAGCAGCACUUCUUUCUUGUCUGGGACAUAUCCCUCCAGUCUUAACCGAUUCUCAAUCUCUUCCCACUUCAUCAAGAUAUCUUUAAUCUGGGGAUGAGUUGUAUCACCUACCAAGAACUGGUGAACUGUUCCUCCAAUCUCAAUUAAACUGCACCCUGGGGUUUUCUGUACUCCCUUCUUCUUCAUCAAGAACCUCACCUUCCUAGCAUCAUCAUGCCUCCCUGAAGCAGCAUAAAUGUUCGCCAAGAGAACAUAAACCCCACUACUAUCUGGCUCUAAUUGAAUCAAGUGCUUUACAACAUGUUCAGCCAGUUCCACACUUCUAUGAAACCUACACCCUGCCAUCAGAGCUCCCCAGAUUAGAGCAUCGGGUUCCAUGGGCAUACUCUCCACGAAAUGUCUAGCUUCAUGGAGUAACCCGUUACGUGCCAAGAGGUCCACCAUACACCCAUAAUGCUCAAUCUUUGGCCUAAUACCGUAGUGCCUGCUCAUCGAAUCAAAGAUCUUGCAGCCUUCAUUAACCAGUCCUGCAUGCAUGCAAGCGCAUAGUGCACCUAUGAAUGCAAUGUCAUCAGGCACAACACCACACUUCUCCAUCUCUGAGAAGAGUUUCAGUGCCUUCAAACCCCGACCAUGCAUCGCAAGACCUGUGAUAAUUGUAGUCCAAGCCAACAAAUUCUUCUCCUGCAUCCCAUUGAACACCUCCAAACCCAACUCCACCUUCCCACACUUUGCAUACAUAUCGAUCAAAGAAGUACCCAGGAACACACUAAUCUUAAUCCCGUUGCUCCUCAAAUAGCCAUGGACCCACUUCCCCUGCUCCAACGCCCCCAGAUGGGCACAAGCAGCGAGCACGCUAACCAGAGUCGUGUCAUCAGGCUUAAACCCUUCAGCUUGCAUCCGCGAAAAGAGCCCCAGCGCCUCCUUCGAACACCCACCUUGGGCGUAACCGGAGAUCAUCGCACUCCAAGUCACCACAUUUCUUGCAGGUGUUCCAUCAAACAGCCUUCUGGCGCGUCCUAGAUCACCAGUUCUCACAUACCCACUUAUCAUCGAAUUGUAAGAAACCACGUCGACAUCUCGAGCAUGAUCCAACAAGCGGCGGGCAUCGGCGAUGGCUCCAACGACAGAGUAGAAGUGGAUGAGGGCAUUGUUGACGAAGAGGUGGGAGUCAAGGCCGAGCUUGAGGGCGUGGGCGUGGGCGGAGAGGCCCUGGGGGCGGGCAGGGAUGAGAGAGCAGGCUUUGAGGAGGAAGGGGAAGGUGUGGGUGUCGGGGAGGAGGCCGGAGCGGAGGAGCUGGGCGUAAAGGGCGAGAGAGGAGUGGGGGAAGGGGGUGCGGGCGUGGGCGCGGAUAAGGGUGUUGUGGAGGAAGACGCUAGAGACAAGGAGGCCGGCGGCGGUGAGGUGGGCUUGGAUUUGGUGGAGCUGCCUGGGGUGGGUGCAUCGGGAGAUGAGGGCGGGGAAGUCGGGGCUCAUGACAGCGAGGAAGAAGGAGCCGCCAUUGGCAGUUAAGUAGCCGUUGGAAGAGGAGAGAGGGGAAGGGUAUCUCCCUCCCCCGUUCAAGGGAAUGAGCUUCGAAAGGGCAUUAGAGGCAUUCGGAGCAGAGCACUGGACCGACAGUGAUGCAUUUUUGGGCCAGGCCUGCUAACGGUCCACUCGAACCAGCCUGUGUUGUAAAUGGGUGGGGCCACUAUUUAAAUGGAGUUUGGGUUUCGAUUUGAUAAACUCAGAAUUAGGCGAGGCUGAUGCCAGCCAGUCCAAGUCUUGUAUGGUUUGAGUAUUUCAUGUAUAUAAAUAUAUUAAAUAUAUAACUUUUAUAUAUAUUCUCUCUCUCUCUCNNNNNNNNNNNNNNNNNNNNNNNNNNNNNNNNNNNNNNNNNNNNNNNNNNNNNNNNNNNNNNNNNNNNNNNNNNNNNNNNNNNNNNNNNNNNNNNNNNNNNNNNNNNNNNNNNNNNNNNNNNNNNNNNNNNNNNNNNNNNNNNNNNNNNNNNNNNNNNNNNNNNNNNNNNNNNNNNNNNNNNNNNNNNNNNNNNNNNNNNNNNNNNNNNNNNNNNNNNNNNNNNNNNNNNNNNNNNNNNNNNNNNNNNNNNNNNNNNNNNNNNNNNNNNNNNNNNNNNNNNNNNNNNNNNNNNNNNNNNNNNNNNNNNNNNNNNNNNNNNNNNNNNNNNNNNNNNNNNNNNNNNNNNNNNNNNNNNNNNNNNNNNNNNNNNNNNNNNNNNNNNNNNNNNNNNNNNNNNNNNNNNNNNNNNNNNNNNNNNNNNNNNNNNNNNNNNNNNNNNNNNNNNNNNNNNNNNNNNNNNNNNNNNNNNNNNNNNNNNNNNNNNNNNNNNNNNNNNNNNNNNNNNNNNNNNNNNNNNNNNNNNNNNNNNNNNNNNNNNNNNNNNNNNNNNNNNNNNNNNNNNNNNNNNNNNNNNNNNNNNNNNNNNNNNNNNNNNNNNNNNNNNNNNNNNNNNNNNNNNNNNNNNNNNNNNNNNNNNNNNNNNNNNNNNNNNNNNNNNNNNNNNNNNNNNNNNNNNNNNNNNNNNNNNNNNNNNNNNNNNNNNNNNNNNNNNNNNNNNNNNNNNNNNNNNNNNNNNNNNNNNNNNNNNNNNNNNNNNNNNNNNNNNNNNNNNNNNNNNNNNNNNNNNNNNNNNNNNNNNNNNNNNNNNNNNNNNNNNNNNNNNNNNNNNNNNNNNNNNNNNNNNNNNNNNNNNNNNNNNNNNNNNNNNNNNNNNNNNNNNNNNNNNNNNNNNNNNNNNNNNNNNNNNNNNNNNNNNNNNNNNNNNNNNNNNNNNNNNNNNNNNNNNNNNNNNNNNNNNNNNNNNNNNNNNNNNNNNNNNNNNNNNNNNNNNNNNNNNNNNNNNNNNNNNNNNNNNNNNNNNNNNNNNNNNNNNNNNNNNNNNNNNNNNNNNNNNNNNNNNNNNNNNNNNNNNNNNNNNNNNNNNNNNNNNNNNNNNNNNNNNNNNNNNNNNNNNNNNNNNNNNNNNNNNNNNNNNNNNNNNNNNNNNNNNNNNNNNNNNNNNNNNNNNNNNNNNNNNNNNNNNNNNNNNNNNNNNNNNNNNNNNNNNNNNNNNNNNNNNNNNNNNNNNNNNNNNNNAACAGAGCAUCCUGAAAUGCGACCCUAGGGUUCCAAAAUAUUGAAAAGCAUUAUUAAACUUUGUUGGCUCGUUAAUGGAAGGACAUAUAGAAAACGCCCCUGCAAAACUGACAUAAAGAAGCUCAUGACAUCAAAUUACAAUGUAUCUACAAAAUUGUGUAAGAGGAUAUGGACCAUGCGAAAAUGCUAGACAGAUCCCCACUUGAUCAAGUCGAUUCAAUCCGAUCCUCCUUGUGCUGCAGCUAGUCUUCUAUACUCCAAAGUUGUUCGUUAGAUUGGUGCUCCCCUUCUUCUAGCACGAUGAGGUGGUCUCAAUCAUAAGUAAUGAAAGCCAUCCACUAAUUGGCCCGUAGGCCCAAAUAGCAACCUUCUACCUAACCGAUGACCCAACUAAUUAACCAGCCAACCUUCCGAUCACCAUGCAACGAACAAAUGAUAAUAAUCUGUCGGGAUUAAAAACAGCAAUGGCACUUGUGGCGGCAGCGCAGUAGCAGCCAGUGCAAUCGUUGAGAAGGGUUUUUCCAUCAGUUUUCAGUGCUUUCACCAGCAGUCGUGGCUGUUGCUAUAUCCUCUUUUUUUUGCAGUGAGGCGAGAACUUUUUAGUUGACACUACCAAAAUUAUGCGCCUAACAAACGAACAGUGAAAGCCGUGCUUUAUGAAUUCCUUCGAAGAAACAAUGGCAUAUGUUGAAUGUCUCUGAAACCUUCAUUAAUGAGCCAUGUUGAUUAAACUUGGCCCCGAUCAAGUCAUGCCUUAUGGUUUAAAGAUCGAAUCACUCAGACCUGAUCCAUCCGAAACUGCCGAAUACUGCCACCGACCAACUAUCUCAUUUCUUAUUUAUUUUAAUUCAAAUAAAAAUUAAUCUCACUUUUAAUAUUUUUAAUAGAGUUAACUAAAUCACCUAGUGAAGUUUAAUGCCUUAUGUUUAAUUUUCAAAUUUAUACUUAUUUUCUCGUAUUAUGAAAAUAUGAAAAUAGUGUUAAAUAUUGAUGAUAUCAUAUUUUUUUUAAAUUAAAAAUCAAGCAUACAAUAUUAUGAAACUCAUGAUUUAUGGUGAAUUAAUGGAUCCAUGAUUGUUUUACCGUUAAGCACUAUUUGUGAACAAUGAGUUCCAUAUUUAUAAAAUUGUAUUUUUGUUUUUGAAAAGAAUAAUUUCAUGGUUAUUCUACUAUUAAAUACUUAUUUAUGGGCUAUGAACUUUAUAAAGCCAUUUAGUGUUUUAAUCAUGUAUAAUUCAAGAAAAUACAACUUAAGAAAAAAUGUCUCAUUGUCUAUGACAACAGAACUCUCAAAUAGCUUUGUAUCGCCCCUGAAAGUGGGAUUAAUCGACAUCCAGUUUCAUACGACCCUAAUAGUGGGUAAUAAUAGUUGACAUACGAUCAUGCCAGCGGAUAAUAGUAGUUGACAUAUAACCUUGCCAAUGGAUAAUAGUUAUUGGCAUAUGACCCUGCUAGCAGGUAAUAGUAGUUGGCAUACGACCCUACCAAUGGAUAAGUGUUUGUCAAUUACAACCCUAUCACAGGUAUAAUAGUGACUUUAGAAUUUAGUCUGAGAAAAAUGAUUUAAUCAAUAAUAAAUGAUUUAUGAUUUUGUUUAUACUAAACACCAAGAACUAUGUUCUACGGAUGAUUUAUGCAUGCAUGAUUGAGUUUAUAACUUGUUUUAUGAAUAAUAUUUGCCAAAGUUGAACCUGCUUAUCUCAAGUCAAUUGCAAUUCAAAUUGGUGAGCUAGGUCAAAAAUUUCCGGUUGGCUCUUUGGCAAGAUCUUGAUCCGAUUUUAACUGAAUAAUAUUGUAGAGUACCUAAUGCGUGCAAAAAUUCCAUUCAGUUUUCUCUCGAAAAAAGAAAGUUAAAAUUUUAGAGUUUUAUGAAAUUAGGCCACAAGACAAUCAUUUCCGAUUUCUUACGAUUGAUCAAGAUCUCCAAUGGAGCCUGAAAUCUAGCUAGGUUUGCUAGUUUUUCGAUGGCUUCAUUAUUUGCCAAGAAAACUAAGCAAAUAUAUAUAUAUAAAAAAAUCUAGUAAAAAAUAUUUAAAUAGUUAAAAGUAAAUUUUACAGUCUCAACCAGUACAGUGAUAUUUUAUCAGUUGAUAUCUUGGCCUAUAUCAAUUUAUACCGUCCAGAGUAAUAAAAUAAUUAUACUAGUUAAUACCCAACCCCAAUACAUUUACGAAAACCUUGGUAAAACCAUUUAGAAAUAUUCAAAAUUAUACAUUCAUUCUCUACCUACCCAACUUUGGUCUCGAUAAUUUGGGAGGGGGAGGAGCGUAACGUAUGGGACCCACCAAUAAAUAUCCACCACAGGUCCACAACAACCAACUCCACCAUCGAUGUAUCCUGCCAAAAGAAGUCCAUGACCGUGGCAAAAGUGGACUUGCACGGACACACACACACACAAAAAAACCAGAUGAACAAAUCGGACAAUUGAAAAAACAACAAACUUUCUAUCCAUAACGACCAACGUCAUAUGUUGCACGUAUCCUCUUAUUCCAUGUGGCAAAAGAACUACUCAUUAACGUGCAACGUAGCGUUAGCCCCAAAAUAAGAUGAUAUUACUAAUAGAUGAUUGAUGAUUUUAUCCAAAAAAUUAUUAUUAUUAUUUUUUUGCUAAUUAGCUCUAGUAUCCCCCCCCUCCCNNNNNNNNNNNNNNNNNNNNNNNNNNNNNNNNNNNNNNNNNNNNNNNNNNNNNNNNNNNNNNNNNNNNNNNNNNNNNNNNNNNNNNNNNNNNNUUUUUUUUUGUCAACUAUUGAAUUGAAAAUAGCAACUUUAAGAUCUGAAUAGAUGGAUGAGUGAGAGUUGCAAUCAUGUUGAAAGAAGACGGCCAUUCACACUGAAAGGUAUAAUCUGAAAACGAAUGAGAAGGCUUGACCCACGGACCUCAGCGCAUCGGGAAGCUCAUGGAUAUCCGAACCGGGACAACCAUCUAAACUCAAUCCCUAAGGCCAAAAGAUAUGCCACGUAGGAUAAUUCCAUCAGGGUCACCUUUUUAAGUCGCGUUGGCUGUGCACUUUGAUUUUUCUAUAUGGUAAAAACGAGUCCCGCGUGGAGGAUGUUAUACCUGAAUGCCGAGAAAAGGGGAAUAUCAUAAUAAUUGCUAUGCGGACGUCAUAUCCACCGUUUAAAUCUACAGUCAAAUACAUCUUGUCCGCGCACUCAACGCGUACGCAUACGUGCGCUUCUGGAAGAUGAGAAACGAGCAUUGAAUCUUCUUCUCCUCCGUAGAAAUUCACAAUUCCUGUUUUGUCCCCAAUCCAGCAAUUAAAUGCCCGAACGGUCAAAAUUUCUCCCACUUCGGCUUCCGGAUCGGGUCUUGGAUUCAAACCGGGAGAAGCACCCCGACCUUCUCCUCAGAUCUGUCCGAUUCACCGCGGAUUGCUUCUCUGGUGAGCCUCUCGGAUCCGAAUUCAAUGGAAUUUAUUUUUUGAUUUCUCAAUCCAUGCAAGAAUCUUAGGGUUAUUCCGCUCAAUUUUCUUCCAAAAAGUUGAUUUUUUUUUAGAAGGCAUGAGAUGUUGUUUUUUAGAUUCUUUUGAUGGUGUGAGAUCUCCAUUGGAACUUGAAAUCCAGCUGAGUUUGCUGGUGCCAUUUUGAUUUCUUUUGUUAUUUGAAUUGAUUAAUGGACAGUAGAGAGAGUGGGAAUGUGCGUCGUUGAUAAAGUCUAUUGUGGAGUAUGAUGACCUGUGGUUAUAAUGGUGAUCUAUCUUCAGGUCGUCGCGUCGUCAUUAGAUCCUUGAGAAGUGUGAUUCGUCUCAAAUAUGACUUAUUUACUGAAUGCACGUUCAGUUGAAAGUUUGUAGCUUUCGAGUGGUUGGUAGCUAUGCUCGAUCUAUCUUAAUUGAUUCCAUCUACAACCUGCUUAUUCUAUAAAAUAUGACUUGUGUUUGAGCUGAUAGACAUGUUUCAAAAAGUUUUAUGUUUGUAUGGAGUUUGAAGCCUUGUGUAAUGCAAUAUGGCAUUCAAUUUUUGACUUCUGAAAACUCUUAACGUGAUCUGAUUACAUCUCGAUGAUAAGAUGCGUCUUAUUUGGAUUACUGGUAUUCAAAAUAUGUAUCUGAAUUGAAUGCAAUUUUCAUUUCUCUGCUCUCUCUCUCUCUCUCUCUCUCUCAACUGAAUUCUGCUACCAUCUUUGGAGAAUGGGGAAAUUUCUCUAACGUCUCGAACAUAUCGGUAUUAUAUAAGAAUUAUUAUUUACUCUCUUAGGUUCAGAAUUGUUCGGUUUUGGUGUUGAACUCUCUUGGCAUACUUUUCUUAAUAAGAAUUGAAAUGUAUGUAAAAGAAAGAAAGAUCUGAUAACAUACUCUUGACCCUGUUCUAUGCUCGGCCAACUAAAUUGGGGAGAUGGCGUUGGGUGUUGACAGCUUUUGCAACAUUUAGCAUAUUCCUUGGUGAGGACAAAGAGGACGUUUAGUGGGUGGACUCUUUCAUUUAUCUUCAGAGGUGUUAUUGCUGCAGUUCUGCAUCAGGUCUUAGGCUUUAACUACUAUGGGCAUUGUGUAUUACAAUCUUAAAUAUACCUUUCAUCAGCCAUGAAAAAAGAUUAUAAUACACAUGAGAUCGUUUCCUAAACUCUACAAUAACCAUAACUCAUUGCCUUCAGAUUGGUCAACCCGUUAACAAUUGGGAAAAGGUUACUUAUUCACAGAUCCAUUGUUUUAACAAGUACUUUGGUUCUGUAAGCUAUUGUUAGAUUUUGAGUAUAUCAUUUAUUAUUUGCAUAGCUUAAAUUUAUACAUUGCUUAUGCACUUAUCGCAUGCCACUGAUCAGUGUUACCUGGACACAUGCAUUCAGUUCUAAAAUCUAUGUCGGAUACAUAUCCAAGUUGAUAUGUAUUGGAUACCAGAUAUAUAUGACAUGAAGUUCUUUGUUAGCCACUUUUAAAAAUUGGAAGAGAGUUGAACUGUUGCAACAAUGUUUGAUUCGAACUCCUUCAACAAUGAGUUUGAUCCUCUAAUUUGAUAUUAGGAAUGAGUUUUUUUUUUUUUGAGGUUUGCUAAGGAUACAGGUAUUGAAACAACUUUGCGAAAUUAUUUUUUUAAAAGUCAUUAAUUUAAUUGAAAAGUUUGAAUGGCAAACAUGUAUUUUGAAAGAUCUUAAUAAACAAUAUCUUUGAACUUCUUUAAUGUUAAAAUAGGUAAUGUUUAAAGAUAUAAAUAUAUAAUUUAGUCAAAUUCAUAUGUUAUCUCACAUAUCCCUGUAUCUCUCUUUCUCCCUCUUGCCAAGUAGACACUUGGAUACAUUUCCAAAUCCAAUUCUUAUAUCCAUAUCCAUGCAACUCUGCCACUGACAGCUCCCACACAUUCAUGAAUUAAAUCACAAUUCCUCAUCCAUGUUAUAAUGCAAUUGCUGUAGGUUCAUUUCAGGGAUGGAUGACUGCUCUUCUGAGAUGAAGCAGCCAUUGAAGAACUUCUAUAUCCCAGAUUACAUACUAGUACCUGAUGCAGAGCGCGAGGAAGUUAGUUAUACUCCCACUUGUCCUGUAAUAGUGUUCAUUAACUCAAAAAGUGGUGGCCAGCUUGGAGGUGAUUUACUUAAAACGUAUCGUGAGCUUCUCAAUAGUUUUCAGGUACUUCUUGAUCCCUGAGAGAAAGGAGAUUGCACAGAUAUGUGCUGUUCAUGAUCAUAAUCCGCCAACUGUUAUGGUGAAUAUGAUUUGUUAUGGUCACUGCAUUAAUUUAUCAUUUAUAUUUUUUAUUUAAGGUUUUUGAUUUAGGAGAGGAGGCUCCCGAUAAGGUGCUUCACAGACUUUACUGCAACUUUGAAAAACUUAAGUCCAAUGAAGAUAUUCUUGCCGCUGACAUUGAGAGGAGAUUGAGACUAAUUGUAAGUGAAAGACUCUGAAAUGGUGCUAAGGAGAUCUUUUUUAGCUGGUGCUCCUUACAGCUUCAUUUUCCAGAAUUAGUAGAGCAUACAAUUGUUUACAGAUUUUAUCAACUACAUGUUUUUUCUUCUUCUUUUUUCCUUUUUUUUUUGAAGGAACUCCAAUGUUUUAUCUUAGACAUGCAAUUAUUUCAUUAGGUUGCAGGUGGUGAUGGCACAGCAAGCUGGCUGCUUGGAGUUGUUUGUGACCUUAAACUUGCUCAGCCACCUCCUAUUGCUACAGUGCCCUUGGGAACAGGGAACAACCUUCCCUUUUCAUUUGGUUGGGUAGGCCACGUAACUUUCUUGUUUGGGGAUCCAAAUAUUAUUCUGUAAUUAGUACAUUUUCUCACUGCUUACGAAGACUGGCAUUUUGGGCCUUGGGGCGAUCCUGGAAUCAGAGAUUUGCCUCUUCUGAUUCAAUCUUCAGAGGACAACAUUCAACUUUUAUGCACAUGCUUCUAUGUCAAAAGCCAAGAUCCUUCAUCAGGAUACAAGCAAAAGUGACUAUAUAAUAUUUUUCUGUCAUUUACUAUAUUCUUUAGAUUAGUGAAAUAUCUGGAGAAAUACAAAUUCAGUAAGAGAUGAAAAAUCUUACUAAAUUACUUCAUGUUUAGUGCUUCACAAACAUAUUUUUAGUGAUUGAAUGUGUUUGUGUAUCUGUAUGUAUGCAAACCAGUAAGGCUUAUUUUGAUAGUUUUUAAUCAAUAUAAAUAUUAAUUUGGAGCCUCCAGGUUAUAUUGCUCGACUUAUCUCAGGAUACCAAUGAUUCCUUGAUUCAUAUCAAGCAAUUUAUUCUAUGUCAUGCAUUCAACUACCACUGCAGGGAAAGAAGAACCCUGGUACGGAUCGUCAAUCUGUAGAAUAUUUUCUUGAGCAAGUGAUGAAAGCAAGAGAAAUGCAAAUUGAUAGGUAGCAUGUUCUAAUCGCAUUAUUCUUAGUUUUAGGACUUUUAUUUGCUUUGAAUGAAAUAGUGUCUCACCUUUAUUCCUCUGUAGGUAUUAAUGUUACUUUUUAUAUGACUUAUAUCGACUUUGUUAAACUAGUGAUGUUGCUGGGAUCUAAAAUUCAGCACUUAUAGUUGCAAUCCAUGAUUCGUCAAUUAUCUUAUAUUAUCUGCUUGUCUGUCAUCGGUGAUAUUCUAUUCACGUAAUUUAGAUUUUUGUGAGUGCAUAGCUUCUCCAAUUUUUUUUCUAGCUCCGUUGUUAUAGCAUCUUUUUGUAUCGAGGAAAAACACAACAGUCUGCUGCAAAUCCACGAUGAAGGUACAGACCCUCUACCCGAACCUUAAACUACAUCAGUUGAUUCAGUGCCAGGAUGAAAAUCCAGAACCCCUUAGAGUUCCAAUACACAUCCAGGUUUUCAUGAAGCCAUGCCUAAGCCGACCUGGCAUGAUGAAAAAUCCUGCCAUUUCAGAUCUUGACUCCAAUUUCAAAUCCAAACAUUUAAGUAUGAGUUACUAUUUAUGACGGACCUAGAUCAGAUCUUACCUGAUAUAUUAAUGCCAAUGCUCUUAAGAAACCAUUUUUUUACUUAUAACAUGGUGGAUUUUUCCUGUAUUUAUGGUUUGUGUAAUUUUGCAACAUAUGAUGCUAUUAUUUAUAUGUAAAAUAUACUACAUAGUUGACAUUUUUCUAACACUGUGUACAUGCUAUUCCAUUCUUGACCCAAAGCUGAAAUAUAUAUGGUCAAAUGUCCACGGUAAUAUUUAGUUUAUUGGUGCCUUGAUGGAAGGUGCUUCCACUGCUUAGAUGCAGCAUACCAUGAUAAACAUUUGGUCAAUUACUAUAUCUAUUGGAAUUCUAUCAUAGUCUACCUAUUUUAGCUUUUUUGUUCAUUAUGAGUUGGUUACUUUCUUUUUCCUUUUUUGAUAUAAUUGCUUUCUCCAUUUUACAGUUGACUUUUUCGUAAUCUGAUAAUAAUGUUUGCAAGAAUGGAGGAAUAUUCCUGCAUGCCAUAUAGAUAUCUGAAGCACAAUGUUUGAUUUAAUUGCUUAUGUUUUUUGACCUCAGCUGGCAUAUUAUCAUGAGGAUGCGAGCUCCCAAGGAUGGUUCCUGUGAUCCAAUUGCUCCUCUAGAGCUUCCACAUGCUCUGCAUGCAUUUCACCGUGUCUCUAGCUCAGACUCGCUUAAUGUGGUAAGGAAAUCUCUUCUGCUUUUAUGCUUGUCUGAACAAUUUUAUAAACUACUUUAUUGUGUUGAAAAGUAUUAAUCAGCCAAAACACUAAUUACCAUGUGACUUGUAUAAUUAUUGGAUUAUGCUGAUGGACAAGCAGUGGUGACAGCUUGCUUACAUGGUUAACUAUAGAUUUUGACCUUUUUUACUCUUUCUAUUGAUUAUUCAUACUAUCUCACACUUGGUGAUAUGUAAUUCCCUUUUUGAAUUUUAAACUUUUGGUUCCAAUACCAUCAGUUCUUAUUCUGUUUCUUUUUAAUAAAUAAUUUAAGUUCUUUGUUCUUGUUUACCUCUUCUCAGGAAGGUUAUGACACGUUCCGUGGGGGAUUUUGGAACUACUUUAGUAUGGGUAAGAAAUAUAGUCUCAUUGCAAGGGAAUAUCAGAACAUUUUAUUUAAAUAGCCUUAUUCACAAGUUCCAAAUCCUGAUAUUAUCUUAUUAAAAUAAUUUGUAACAAUCAUCUUUAUCAACUUUCGUUUACCUUUAAUGCUAGUUUUUUUUAGUUUUAUUUUUUAUUCACAUUAUUUAAUUGUCUUUUGGGAUUUUUGCUUGUUCGUCUAUGAGAUUCUCGAUGAUCUAGGUCAACUUGCUUAGUCAUGAUUUCAGAGAUGUGCAUGUAAAAGAAAGAAAAAAAAUAAUAAAAGAGAAUACUGACGGGAAGAAAUACUAAAUCAACACCCUCGAUGUCCUAGUGCUAUGUCAAAAUGUGGCAGAGUGAGGUCUCAUGGUGCCCAUAUUAUCUCUUCACAUAAAGGAGUCUAGUGACUAAUUCUUUUUGUAUAUAUAGCCAUCUUGCUUUGAGCUUAUCUGCCGAUGCUUCUAUAGAAUGGACAACAUGUAUUCUUGCUUCCUCAUCUUCACCUUUAAGUUUAAAAUGUCACCAUUUUGGUUCACUUCAUUUUAAAAGCUUACUGUAGGGCGAAUCUGAAUGAAGUGGUAGCAAGCAGCUUUUAGGUAAUGGCUAUUUUGGGUAGAUAUCAUAUAUUCACCUUGAUGUGCAACAACUAGUUGUCUCCGCAAGUUGUAAAGGUCAAGUUGGUGACCCGCCAGUAAGCACUUUAGAACUCUAGAGUUGUUAGCAAUAUAAGCACAAUAUGAAGAAUGUUUGAAGCAUUGCUGCUCUGGAAAAUAUGCUUGCUUGUUGAAAUACAAGCUUAGCAUGAUUGAACUUGAAAACAGAAAUGGUAUAUUGUUCAAUAAACUGAGAUGUUAUGUUUCUUAUUCUUAUAUUAUGCAGUGUUUUAUUUUCUCUUUUACUAAAUCUGUGAGUAGGGACAAAACAUAUGCCAGUCAGGUAUGUCGUUUGAUGAUUAUUUUAACUAAAAUUUUGAGCAACAUGGUUAUGUGCAUGAUAAAUUUCCUGUUGUUACAGGAAUGGAUGCUCAAGUAUCAUAUGCAUUUCACUCUGAGAGGAAGCAGCACCCGGAAAAGUUCAAGAACCAGUUAGUUAAUCAGGUCAUAUUUUCUUCAUGUUGGUUCAGAAAUAAGAAGAUUCUCUCUUGUUAUUUGUUGUUAUGUGCUGUUGUAGUACACAUACAACAAGAUGAAUAUUCUUCCAAGGAGAAAUUGUUUUCCCAUUCUUUAAUUUAGCCUAGUAUGAAAAUGAAUUUGUCUUGCUGCAAGCUCUUGUGGAGGUCCACAAAAUGCUAUUCUUUUUUCUUUCCGCCAUAUAACCAUUAAGUAUAGGUACUCAUGCAUUUAUUGCUUUUGGUAAACUUGUCAAAAUUCUACAAUAUUUUGAAUAAACUUCAUUGUUGACUGAUGCAGAUAAAUUUGUGUGGUACCAGUGCAUUAGUGUGAAAUUAUUAACUGCAUUUUAAAUGAUGUGCGUUCUAUCAUGCAAAGCCAAGCUUUUUUGAGGAAAUGUUAAUAAACAUAAUUAUCAUAGUGCAGAGUACCUAUGCGAAGCUUGGAUGUACACAAGGAUGGUUUUGUGCUUCUCUCUUUCAUCCUUCUUCAAGGUAAAAUAUUUGUUUCUGGUUUAUAUAAUGUGUACUAACUGAAAGAGUAGUCAUCAUUUUCUGACAUUGUUAACUCAGCCCAAUGAAGUUCAUGAUGGUUAGGAAAUUAUAAGUUUAUAUUCCUGCAAUCUAAACUAUAAUAAGCAAUUUCAAUUACCACUGAGAACAUGCUAAAGUUUCCCUUUUUGAAGGAUCCAGGGCUACACUUGAACAUGAAUGAGCGCAGUCUUCUUAUUGGCUUUAUUUCCAGCUUUAACAUACACUCAAGAAACAUAUUUUUAUACAACUAAUUCUUUAAACACAUGAUUUAUGCUGGUUUAGAUAUUAUAUCUGAGCAAAUUUCUUCACCUUUAUACUGGCUUUAUUUUUUUUUUGGUGAAAAAAUAUUUGAAAUACUUCUAUUAUCCUUGCAUGCUUAAUUUAUUAGAAUGAAACUUCUGUCCUCAACAUAAACAUCUGGCCUUGCAUGGAGGAUGACGAGAAAGGACUAACAGAAUCUUACCCAUACAGUAGGGACUUGGCAGUUCUGCUGUUUCAUGCUUAAAUCUCCAGCCUAAACUUUACUAGAAUCCAAUACCACUGAUAACAUGCAUCGGUCUUUUCAGUUUUAAUUUUAAUGUUUAUGCAGGAACAUAGCUCAGCUUGCAAAGGUGAAGCUCAUGAAAAGACCGGGCCAGUGGGAAGAACUCCAUAUUCCGCACAGGUAAACUGAUGGCGCAACAUUUUUCUUCAUUCAUUUCCAAGUUACAACCAUGUAUGCUUCAGCUGGUAUAAUCAUUUAAUAAAUUUGUGGAUAGAGUGGGAAUGCAGAGAAAGGGGGAGUCUCUCUCUAUCUCUCUAUCAGUGCCGCUCCCCUCUUUCUCUUAGCAGGAUCCUCCAGAAGAAGAUAAAAAGCAUAUACCUUGUGGAUACUUAUUGGUGGCCAGUUUUGCAUGCCCUACUCCAAGUGGUUUAAUUAUAUAAUAGCUAGAUUUUAAUGUGUAUAUUUUUUUCCCCUUUCUUUCACCUAACAACAUACUCUCACACAACCUCCUUGUAUAUUAAUUUUGUUUUGUGCUGCUAUGUUGAUUUUUUUUUUUAAUGGAUAUGUGAUUGCCUGAAAAAAUUUGUGAGACUACCAAAUUCUUGUUGCUGGAAGCACUUCCAAAGAAUAGGACCUCCUUUUAAUACAGGCUUAAUUUGGUUGACUUUUAGGCUUUUAGGUGUUUCUUAAGACCAGCCAUGUCUGUAGUUUUGAGAUGGGAGGAUGAUUGAAAAGCGGCUGUAGACUCUAUGCACCACAUUGAUAUACUCCUCAAGAUAUACUGCUUGUUUGUAAUCAUGUUCGGUCGCAGAUUAUUUCACAACAUUAAAGGGUCAUCCAACUAAGUAAACUGCUUAAUUUUUUGCAGCAUCAGAUCGAUAGUUUGUCUUAACUUACCAAGCUUUUCUGGAGGAUUAAAUCCUUGGGGAACUCCAAAUCAGAGGAAAACACGAGAUGUGAGUUUGCUUUACCAUUCUUACACCUCCCUCAUUAUAAUCAGACGGUUCUGUGGGACAAAAUUUUAUCAAAUACAUCCCUUGAAACUUUGAUUGUGGUCUUCUAUAGAGGGAUCUGACUGCACCAUAUGUCGAUGAUGGCCUUCUUGAGGUUGUUGGCUUUCGAGAUGCUUGGCAUGGGCUUGUUUUGCUUGCUCCCAAUGGACAUGGAACUCGUCUUGCACAGGUAUGUUAAUCUCCUGUUUCAACUAACCAUGUUAUCUGUAUCAUUAUUCACCUUCCACUCUUAUCCGAGCAAAUUGCUGUAUCAGUAAUGAUCUGCUCUCUAUUCCAUCAGAAAUAAUGAUCCAUGACAACUAGUUAUUGAAAUUUAUAAAUUGUGCAUCUUUUUUAAUGCUGUUACAGAACAAUGAGAACUUCCACUAGAGGAUAUUCUGGUCAAACUCAUGCAUUACUCGACAAAAAAUUCAUGCACAACUUGAGUCCAUUGUUUCUGCUUGUAGGCACAUCGAAUUCGCUUCGAGUUCCACAAGGGCGCAGCAGACCACACAUACAUGAGAAUUGAUGGGGAGCCCUGGAAGCAGCCUCUUCCCAUGGAUGAUGACACUGUUGUUGUGGAGAUCUCCCAUCUUGGUCAGGUUAAAAUGCUUGCAACUAACCACUGCAGAUCCAAAAGUAUCCAUGACCCUUCAACACCUUCAUCAGCGAGCAGCCAUCAUGAUGAUGAAGAUAGCUGCGAAGACUCUGAAGAUGAGUGGGAAGGGGAGAGGAGGAAGUUUGGCGCUGCAGAGACGUUCAAAUUUCCAGAGGAUAUAGACAUAGCUCACCUCAGCUAAUAAGGUUUCUCUACCUUCUCGAGUUGGAACAUGUUCGUUAUAAUUUUAUGGAUGGCCCAAGAUCUUUUUUGCCCAUUUUCCAUGUUCUGAUAUAUUACUUGCUGUGGAGGGCUGUCAAUUUGAAACUGAUGGUGAAAAGCAUUUAUAUUAUGGUUACUUUUAUUAAAUUCCUCACUAGAAGUUAUAUUUGGCUUUUUUAGCCAGGAGAAACCAAUAUUUAUUAGAACUACUUAGCCCAUAUUCUAUAUAUUUUCAGCAAUUAGAGCAAAGUACUGAAAAUUCAUUUCUAAAAUUCUAACAAGGAAAUUUAUCAUCAAGAUCAUUUUAGCUAAUUAUUAUAUAAAAAAUAAUUGGAAAAACUCUUUCCAUUGAUUACUCUCCAAUUACUCUGAGAGAGUUGAAAUUCUCUCUAACUUGCCAAGGUUAAACACUUCUGAAUCUUAGCAUAUCUUAGGAAUUGCAGGAGCAUAAAAUUUUCUAAUUGUCUAAACCUUAAUUUUGUAGCCAUCGAUCUAAAACCCCCAGCAGAAAAUAUGGAGCAAUAUUUUCUUGUUACAAUCUUUUCUGUAAAGCAACUUUUAUUGGUAUUAUAAUAGAAUAUUAAACAUCAAAUAACAUGACAUAAUAACCAUUAUCUUUUCUCUUCUAUAUAGCAUGCAGUAAAAAAGCGAAAAUAUUUAUAAUCACUAUUACUUUUAUUCUAAGCAACAGUUCAGAAAUUCGGUUCCCUUGGCCUCCCCUUUCCUUCUUUGAUUAAUUAAUCUUCUGACUCUGCGAGUGGCUCCGUCGGAUUUGGGAUUAGCCCCACCUGGCCUAAUAAAAACGAGGGAAAAACACGGCUGGUAUCCUUGGUUUUAUCUCCUAUGGAGACGUACAAGAAAUUUAUUGCAUCAAAUUCUCCACUGAAGCCCUUGGUUUUCCCGGAUCCAAGCACCAGGCCACGUCAAAUCCCUUCCGUUACCACUAAAUCCCCCUCAGCCGCAAUAAACGUGCGGCGCAAACACGGAAUCCGACUUCCAGAAAAUUCCCACUUCCAAAACCGACAGUAUCUCGUCCAAAUCCACCCCGAAUCCCCGUGUCCUCCUCGUCGAAAUCCACUGGCUAUAGCCCGUCGUUUUCACUUCCCUCCGGAACUCCAGCCACUGUUUCCCAUCCAAAACCAUUGAUACCUGCCCACCGGAACUCCGCCUUAUCUUUAUAUAUAAAGGUACCAUACCUCUCUUGCUGUCAACCUUCUCCCAUCCAAAAUCCCACUUUCUAAGUUCCGAGCUUUUCUUAAAGUGAUAACGCUUUUCCAUUCUUCUCCAUCUGAGAUCCUCCACUUCAGAAAUCUCCGACGGUCUUCCGAUUCAUUGAGUAUUGGACGGUUGGAUGAGCCUGCGGUACAUGAGCAGGAUCGUGGUCCAGAGCGGCGCGAGGGCGGCGCAGGGGAUGCGCGACCACGCGUCGAGGUCGGUUAAGGAUACCGCCGCCAGCUCCUCUGCGUCCGGGCGGGCGAGGCGACUUUCCACCGCCUCGUCGAAUCUCCAGUCUCGGGUUACGGCCGGUGAGGAUAAGCGGAAACGGAACGAGGAGGCGCUGCGGACCGUCAUGUUCUUGAGCUUCUGGGGCCCCAACUGAAGGGGUUGUAGAUUUCCAUAUCGUUUAUCUGAAUAUUUGGAGAUGAGGAGAGUUUUGUGUAUAAGUUUCGUAAAGGAAUUUUCUUUUUGGUGGAGAUAGAAGCAUAAUUUGUACAGUGGGUUUUUCAUGGAAAUAAAGUUAUUAUUUUCAUACCUUUCAUAUAAUUCAGUCAAAUAUUUGGGUGGCAUGAGGCGCUCUGGAUUCUUUUGCAUGUUUUCUUUCCUUGAUUCAUGAAGUCGAUGAAUCACGGCAUAUCGAUAAGUGGAAUAAGACAAUCCAAUAUAGCUGUCUUUACUUCCUUGAGAUCAACUCAUGAUGUUUUAUAUUGACAAACGUAUGGUGGCAUGAAAGGAAAGAGGUUAAAAAAAGGAUGUUAUUUAAUGUCAUGUAAGAGCCUCUACUGCUUCUCUCCUUUAGGAUUAAGCCUUUUUUACAGCAUUCCAUUCAAUAAAAUGUGGCGGAUAAUCAUGGUUUUGCUUAAAAAUAAUGGUUACAGACAUAAUCCAUUCAAUCCCUUCACGGGCUAUCAUAUUACCCUUCUUAUAUUUAUUAUGCACGGCCAAGCGAACAAAGUAGUGUAAUUGUCUCAAAGCCUCAUAUGAAGGGGAAAGAAAGGACAACAGAAGCACUGCUAUCCACCAGGAAGCGAGUUUAUCCACAAAUAAAAAUUAACGAGUAACCAGAAAUACGAGUUUAUCACCAUCCAUGAGUGGAUAUACUCCGUAUACUUAAAUAUCUGCUAUCCUCUCAUAAACACAUAAAAAACAACUCUUAUCACAAGAUCAGUUGGGACCCCAACAGAUGAGGUGCAUGACAUUCUCAGCCUUCUCUGCUCUCCUCCUCUUCAGCUUCUCAUCUAAAGCCGGACUCUUCGCCGAGUGGUCGGCGGCAGCACCGGAGAACCACCUGACCUGAUUGGCUCCAGCCUGAGUCUGGGUGGGGUUGGGGGACUUUAGAGUAGCCGUGGGCUUGGAGCCCAUCUGCUGCUCUUUCAACAGUUGUAUUGCUCUUUGGCUCAUCCUGCUUAUGUACCUCAAACUCAUGGCGACUAACUUCUCCUCCUUCCCUCCCUCUCGAGUUGCAGGAGCUUAAAUAGAUGGCUUUCGAAUGAAAACCAUAGCCAGUUGAUGGUUUUUGGGGACUCCCAGGUUUGUGAAAGAAUAUGCUUGGCUUUCCACACCUAACUCAUGGGACUUAUAUGGUGGGCGUUUUCGACGGGACAACGGCAGUUUCGUUGUGCUGCCAAUGGGCUUCAACCAAAGGGCAUAAAAAGAAAACUGAUGGCCUUCUCACAAACCAAAGGCUUGUGGCCAUCUGAUUUGUGGUUUCGGGGUAUAUUCUUUUGAAACUUGUGUUUUAUUUCCUAGAAUUUAGCAAAAGAGAUUGGUUCAAACUCAUUCCCUCUCCAAACGAAGGAGAGGUGCCAAUAGGCUCAGAUUAGGCUGGAGGCCGGGACAAACCUAGGGGCGGCCCAAUACAUUUGGGGGCCUAAGGCGAAUCCAAUAAAUAAGGCAUUUUUUUAAUAAUAAAAUUUUGAAUAAAUAUAAAAUAUUUAAAAAAUGAUAUGAAAUUAGAUAGUUAUCAAGUACACUAUUUCAACAAAGAUACAUGAAUCUAACAAAGAUAGACAAGAAGUCUUUUCAAUUUAAUAUAAUUUUUGAAUGGAAGCACAGAAAAGUAAUUAUCUUAACUAUGAAACUGAUUAAAUAAUUGAGAUAAUGCUUGAUAAUAUUUUUACCCUGUCAAGCAAGAGCAGAAUAGGAAAAGGUCAUCCCAUGGCACUUCAUGGUCAAGGUANNNNNNNNNNNNNNNNNNNNNNNNNNNNNNNNNNNNNNNNNNNNNNNNNNNNNNNNNNNNNNNNNNNNNNNNNNNNNNNNNNNNNNNNNNNNNNNNNNNNNNNNNNNNNNNNNNNNNNNNNNNNNNNNNNNNNNNNNNNNNNNNNNNNNNNNNNNNNNNNNNNNNNNNNNNNNNNNNNNNNNNNNNNNNNNNNNNNNNNNNNNNNNNNNNNNNNNNNNNNNNNNNNNNNNNNNNNNNNNNNNNNNNNNNNNNNNNNNNNNNNNNNNNNNNNNNNNNNNNNNNNNNNNNNNNNNNNNNNNNNNNNNNNNNNNNNNNNNNNNNNNNNNNNNNNNNNNNNNNNNNNNNNNNNNNNNNNNNNNNNNNNNNNNNNNNNNNNNNNUGUUCCCGUUUUAUAUGGGGCCUUUGCUUCCUUUUGGUCACAACGCAAGAAAUUUCCCCCUCUCUCUCUCUCUCUCUCAAUCUCUUUGCUAGCUUCACCUCCUGGGGGCCUUCCAUUGGCCCGAGGCCUUAGGCGACCGCCUCGAUCGCCUAAGGCUCGGGCCGGCUCUGGACAAACCUAUUGUUGAUGAAAAAAAUGGGAGACCAAUGGGCGGCUCAACGUAAAGAGUUCUUCAUGUCGCACUAAUUUUUAAAUAAUUUUUCAAAACUUGUAUAAGUAUCUAAGAUCUAUCUAGCAAAUAACCGAUGUGGGACUAAACACACGCUCGCAUGGAUCCUCACACAAGACCUAUCUUUCUAAUUCUUAAUUAACGAUCGAAUUAAAACGUAGAACCAAAUCUCUAGGUUGAUCCAAGUUUGAGUCAGGAGGUAACCAAUGCCUACCCUACAUGACAGCAUUGCUACUCAAAUUAGGUGAACAAACCAUAAACUCCAGCUAUCAUGCUUCUAAUCAGAAAAAUAGUACUCCAUUUUUUGAACUCUCUAUCUGCGUCUAGAAAGCAAUUUCACAUUGGAUGGUCAAAGAAUGGCCAAGAGGUUGAUGUGUACAGCCAUGGAGUUCAUAUAUGAAAGGGAGAUACAUAUACAUGCACACAUAUGCACAUACAUGAAACAUAUGCAUAUACAAAAUAUAUGUAUGUAUCUAGAUUGAAACAUAAACCCAAUUAAAACUUUAUAUCCAUGCAAAGAAAAAAAAUCAGGCGUUAGAUUAAAUGUUAGAUUUUUUUUCUUUUUUGGUCUUUUGAACAACGCCUAGGAUUUGAACAUUGAUCUACUUUGAGCCUUUAGAAGUGGGGUGUCAACUAACGGGAACAAGAACUAUCAGCAAAGUUUUGUACUGGAUACUGAUUGGGUAUUUACCAAAAUUUUUACUAUAAAUAUGAGUCUUUUCUAAAUGAUUUUAUGUGCCAAAAUAUUAUGUCAUAAAGUGUGAGCCGUAAGUGCCCCAGGGGCCAAGGGGAAGAAGGUAUCAAACCUCAAAAGGGGCUCAAGGGAAGGUGGAAUCAGCCUCAUUCAGUCCAUCGUCACCAAGAAGCACCAAGUGAAAGACCCCUUUUAUAUCUUGGACCUUGGUGCAGUUGUAGAUCUCUUUAAGAAAUGGAACCAAUUCAACCAUCUCAAGACGUUAGAAUUCAUCUUUUGAACGGAUAACUUUGAACCUACAUGAAGAUAAGCCGGUAUGGAAACUUGAUAGCAAAGGUGACUUCACCAUUGCAUGUAUUUAUUAACUUCUCAAUACUAGGGAAGUUAGAUGUUGGUUUGCUUCCUCAAUCUGGAGUCUUGAUGUACCUCUAAAUUGCAAAUAUUUUCUUUGGCUUUGUUGGAAGGAAAAAUUAAAUACCAAAGAUAUCCUUAAAAAAAAGUCAUAGGAGCUUUGGAGCUUGUGUUUCAUGUCAUCAAGCACACGAAUCAGUAGAUCACUUAUUCUCUUCAUGCCCUCUUUUUUUCUACCCUUUGGAAAGGAAUAUACUACUUUUUUGGAGUUCUUCACCCUCAAAUCUCUUUUCAGAAUUUUUGAAUAGAAUAGAAACUCAGAAUUUUCUUAAAACAAUUUCAGCUUAUUAUUUAGAAGGAUGGAAAUAUAUGAGAUUUUUCUUAACAAGCAAUCUUUCAUCAUUUCUAUUGCUUAUACUGAUCGUCAUAAUUUCAAUGAAUGGUCUAAUUCUAUAUAAUAAUAAAAAAAAUCAACUUUUAAAAAAAAAUGGAGAAAAAUCAAAGAUAUUCCUAACUCUCUUCCAAUUGUUCAAUAUUUCAUUUGGGUUCCAAUUUUCUUUCCUAUUUCUUUCUAACUGAUAUUGUUUUCUCUUCCAAGUCAUAAUUUUCUUUUUCUAUUUUAAUAAAAACUUGAUGGCUCCUUUAAGCCUUCCCUAAUCAAUAAAAAAAAGUGUGAGCCUUGAAAAAUAAAAUGAUGAUACAAAACGUUGAUAGAAAACUGCAAGUAGGUUCCGACUUAGUCUUUUGUUUUUUCUUCUUAGAUAAUCAAGUUCGCUUUGAAGUAAAAUCAAAAACCAAAAUUUAGAAUUUGGUGGGACAAGGUAGGUUAUGAUUUAAUAAUUCUCUACUAUAAUGUUUUAAUUAAAAAAAUAUAUGUGCAUAUAUAUAAAUUAUGAAUGAAUCCACCAAAACUAAACCCCAUCAGCUCAGAUCUAAUUCUGAAACCUGAACCGGAUUAUCGUGUCUUAUUUUCAUACCCAAAUGCCAUAUUUCAGAUCAUAAUUGGAUCAAUUAGUGCAUUACAAAGGCUCAUUGAUACCCUCCUCUUAGUCAUCUUUGCACUUAAUCAUGUUAGGGGAGAGCAAGAACGUAGUAGAAAUCCCAUUGUUUCAAUUAGAAAUGGAAACCGAAUGGUGGAUCGUGAUAAACACACGCACAUACAGAGAGAGAUCUGCAGAAAUCCAAGACACCAAUUGCCCAGCGGCCCCAGCAGAGAAAGAAGGAAAAGCCAAGUUAAUAAGUUGAGCAUUUGUUAUUUUUUCCCUAAAAAAAUGCUGAGAUUUUGUUCUGAGGGUUCUCUUCUUUAGUCUUCCCUUCUACUAAACGAAACCUCUGAAAUUUCUUUCUGAAAUCUUAUUCUAUUAUGUUGAAUAAGACAUUAUUCUGAAGACUAAUGCUUCAACCAACUUCAGCUUUUGGCACCCAGUGAACAGGGUUCCCUUCUUCUUUUUUUCUUUUCUUUUUCCUACCAAGACUACAAUACAUCCAUAUGGUUCAAACCAAAAGCGAAGAAUCUCAAGGCUUGAUUGAAACAAUAGGCGUAUGCAGUCAAAUUUAUAGUUAAAUGUGUCAAAGAGACCAUAACAGAGGCUCAAUAGAGAGCAGUUGCAAGUUUUGCAUCUCCCCUGCUUCUAAAAUUUCUAGUUGGGACCCCAACAGCUCAAGUACAUGACUUUAUUCAGCGACUCCUCGCAUCGCUUGGCCUUCUCAUCAACCCUUUCCCUUCCUUUCCUCCUAUCAAUAUUAGAAGAAGAAGAAGAAGACAUCCUCCUGGCCUGAGAGAAGGAAUCCAUGCUGUUCUUCGCCUGAUGGUUUAGAGACCUGAUGGCAUAGUUCCAUCGGCACAGCCCUGCUUGGUCCUUGAGAGCUUCCACUGCCCCCACGCUCGCUGCCACAACCAAAGAAGCCCUGCUCGCAGAGCCCAUCUCUUCUCUUCCUCCUAGUAUUGUGAAUCUGAAGAAGAUCUUAGUGCAACAAAGUUGUCUGCCUUGGUGAGCUUGAUGAUAAAGUGGGGAUGGCCAUGGCAAUAUAAAGGCAGUAGGAAAGAUGGGAUAAGAAGAGGAGGGAUGGGAGAAAACAGUGGGAGAGCUGCUGCUGGUAUUGCAGCUUUGGGCUCCAUGGUUUCCUGCAUACCGGGGGCUAUGUUGUUUUGUUUAUCAUUUAAAUAAGCAAGCUAACUGGAAACAGACGUCUCAACAACAAGAAAGGUUCAUCAGUGCCAAGGAAGGUAGGUGGAAGUUUGCCACUUUGCCGCAUACUGAGGGCUCCUGGUUCCUUGUAAGCUUUUAGUUAGACCUCAGGAAACGGGCAGCGACGUGGGUUGGUGGCGAACGGUAGCUGCAUAUGCCGUGCAGUGAUACGUGAGUGCAGGUGGAAAGCACCCCAGCCAACUUGGACUUGGGACCCAACUUUAAUUAGGUCUCAUAUUUAAAAUAAUGCCAGUUUUAAAGGCAUUCAUCUACAUGAUAUUAUAUUAAUGAUGACUGUGACAAAGAAUUCUGAUGGAGCAUUGGUUGAUGUUUUUAUUGUUCAUAAAUAAUAUUUUUGAAUUAACGUUUUGUGAUAUUUCAGAAUAGUUUUUAUUUGAUGAAUAGUUAUUUAAAUUGAUAAUAUUGUGCUUUUUCUUCGAUUAUAAUGAUAAAUUGGCUUUUGUAAAAAGCUAUACUGGAGCAAAGAAGGGACAAAUUCUCGUCUAUUAUCAUUAUUUUUAUUAUAAUGAUAAAUAGAAAUAACAAAGAGGAUAUAUUUAUCUAACGCUAGCGAACAGAAACCUUGAAUUACAUUGCCUCUGGACAAAUACAUGGACUCUAGCUAGCAUCUCUCUUCGGGUCAUGCCAAGCUUAAAUUGAUUUUGUUAAUUUAUGCAUAUAUUUUUGGUUGCUUCUAAAUACAAUUUGUACUUUGGCAGAUGUGUCAAUCCUCUGAAUUCAGCCCCAUUGUGAGCCGAAUUUCAAUGCAAUUUCACUUUUUUUUUUCCUUAAUAUAUAAACUUAGGGAACCUAAAUCUCUAUAUCUUCUCCACCAAUAUAGUUGACUCGAUCUUCCAUUUUCCGUCUUUGUUGUCUCUAAUCAAGUUAUUUUCUUGUUUCGACUCCGCCCUAUUUGGAUAUGGGUAUAGGGCACAAAUGAGCUUCCGUUCUUUCCAUAUUUUCGACCUAUUAUAGUUACUCUUUUCUCACACUAUUUAUAAAUAAUAAUAUUUCUAAUCUUUUUGAUAUGUACAAUAUUUUUAAAUAAAAAUUUGUUGGUAAAGGUUGUUUCCACUCUUAGGCAUAUCUUUUCUAAUUUUAGGGUUGCCAUUAGGAGGAUUUCGUGUAAAUAUUUCUGCUCCUUAAUUCUAAUCUCCCUCCAUCCAUCCAAUCUCUAAAACUAAAAAAAAUAUUUUUUUGGGUACUUUGUCGACUAAUUUGUAAUCCUUCACUAACCAUAACUAUAUUUUUAAACUUAAUAAUUAAUGUUAUAUUAUUUUUUAAAUUUUAAAUUUUACCUAAUUUUUUAUUUAUUUUGUUAGAAGUAAAAUGAUGUUGCAUGUACGUUAUAACCAGCAUUAAAUACUUGUAAAGGGCUUUUAAGUUUUUUUAUCAAUAGCUUUUUUCUUGCCAUCCGAUUCAACUUGGGUAGCAUUGAUUUACCCAUUGCAAGCUAGUUGGAGCCGGUUAGCAUAUGGCUGGUACGGUAAAUACUUCAAAAGUAUUUUGGAAUGAAAAAGUAUGGAUGAUACGCUAAAUAUUUCUAUAUUCAGAAGCUUUUUCUGAAGCCCCUUCUCAACCCUCAACCCCGAUGCGAUGCCGAUGAGCUUGUCACUGGUGAGAUGAGACAUGCACUUGGACUUGAACUCUUCGAAGAGGCAAGCGAGGGAGUUGAAGACGGUAGUGGUGGAGCAAUUGAGGAUGGUGGUGGCGAUGCAGGUAGCAUGUCAAUUGAUAACAUAAAAUCUGCUAUAAUUUGAUGUUAGUGAUUUUGUUGAAUUAAAUUUUGAUUUAAAAUGUUAUUCAUUCAAGACAUUCAUAUAUGUGGCCAUAUAAGAUAAAUAUAGCUUGAGAGUCUUUUUCAAUUUUUAUACAUAAUAAAUAUAUUUUCUUUGAAAGUUAAAGUUUUAAUCAAUAUUGCUUAAGUGGAAGAAUGUUGGAAUUUCACAUAAAAUAGCUUCCAUUAAUUAUGAACCAAUUUGACUGUUUUGUUAUGUUAUAUGGGCUAAGUUGUCACCUCAAUAAAUAUUUAAGAAGUCUAGAAUUAAUUUUGUGAUCAUAUGGUUAUUUUGUGUUCUAUUGUUUUAGUCAUGUGGUAUAGUAAGUAUUAGUGUAGGCUCGAUUGAUUAAUGAGCUGUGUAAUUGAUGAAUCUAUAAGCAUUAUACUAAUAAUGCUAGUUUCCUAUUCCAUUCAUAUAUAUAUCUAUAUGUAGUGAAACUCUAAGGUAUCAAAAUUUCUACGUUCCUAGGGUGCACAUAUCCCAUUAACAUCCACUGGAUACUGCUACGGUGGUUAUUAACAACUUCUUAGGGAUCUUGAGGCACCCCUUGGUUUUGUCUAACUUAUUUUUAAUGAAUGUUUGUGUUCUAAUCUCUCGCAUGAUAUCUAAAAAAAAUCCCAUAUUUAUAAAAUAAUAUGAAAAAAAGUACAAUAAUAAUUGCCUUCUGAAAAAUAGAAUACCAAUCUAAUUGUGAAUCAUAAUUAUCCAUAUAAUGUCUCACAAGCCCCAUUGAAACCUACCGAGAUAGAUUAAGGGUCUAGUGCAUGCAUAUACAUUUUAUUGUUGCAUUUUUUCUUCAUCCAACAUUAGAAGAGAUAUGGUUAAUAAUACAUUUUACCUAUGAAAAAUGGUUUAGAGCUGGAACACUUUAACAUGAAAUAUAAUUUAGAGAUGGAAAACCAUUUGUUUAUGCUUAAAAGAUCCUCGUUUUAGACACAGCAUUAUUUUCUAAAACAAAAUCUUUUUCUUAUUAGAGUUGCUAAUACUUCCUGAAAAGCGUUUCUGCCCGUCCGGCCCGAAUUUCGUGGAGAUCUCAGCUUGAGCAUUGGGUUACGCGUAAAUCAUAUCACUCCCCAUUCCACUACAUUAAUUUAUGAUUACUUUAUUUCUAAUCAAAGUUAUAUCUUACAAGUGAAUUUGUGCUGUAUGAAUCUACGCCAGGAGACCCUUUUUCUUGCUUGAUAGGAAGCCAGCGUAUCCUCUCAAAAAGAUACGAAGCCUACGGAGCAUCUCGGACUUCAUCAAGGUCUCCCCAUUUUAAUAGAGAAUUAGCAAAAUAAAAGGUUUUUUUAAUCAGCUUAUUGAUCCUUUAAUUAUUAUGUAAUUUUUUUUCUUUUUCUUUUAUUUACUCCAACUAACUUUUUUUGAUACAUACUUGUUGCUAUAACUGAUUUCCUGAAGCUCACUAUAAUUCCUGAAGACCAUUCACCAACCUCACACACCUCAGCCAUUUAACAUUAAUGUUGAAUUCAAAGGUCAGAUAACAUUGUGAAGAAAACAUCAGAGCCAUUUCAAAACAAUAGAAGAAUAUAAACGGCCAUCACCAAAAAAAUUUAGAAUAUACUCGAACUUCAGUAUUCAGUAUUACAAAGUUCGAUCCCCAAAACUUUAGAAAUAAAGAGAGAGAGAGAGAAAAAACAGAGAUUAGUUGCCAUUUCAGACAUCCCCUUGUUUCUAAAAUUCUAUUUGGGCCCGUAGCAGCUCAGGUACAUGACUUUCUCCAGUGUCUGCUCCCUCCUCUUCGCUCUCUCCACCUUCCCAAUGCUCCUUUCAAUGGAGGUAGACAUCCUGGUGGCUUGACUUAAAGAUCCCACGCUGCUCUUGGCUCGCUGGUGGAGAGACCUCAAGGCGUAGUUCCAUCGGCACAGCCCUGCUUGAUCCUUGAGCGUUUCUACUGCCGCUACGCUUGCCGCUACGAUCAAAGAAGCCUUGCUUGCAGAGGCCAUCUCUUCUCUUUCUCUAACGCUGGGAAACCAGAGAAGAUUUUAAUGGAAGAAAGUAGCGUGCUUUCGGUGGAGAUUGCUUUGACGAGGUUGGUGGAAGGAAAUGGGGGGUAUAUAAAGCCGCCAAUGGAAGGAACGGGAGAGGUGGCACGAGAGAAAACCAGGGGCUAAGUACUGCUGGUUUUGGUUUCUUUCCCCGUAUUUCCUGGAUCCCGGGGGCGUGGUCG
rnacentral:lncRNA from 1 species